rnacentral:lncRNA from 1 species
AAAAAAGAAAAAAGAAGGCAAGAAGCAACAACAAAAAAUGGCAUGGCCAAUAACCUAGUCGUUCUCCUUUUGUUUGGAAAAAAAUCGUUUAGUUAGAAAAUUUAGACUUUUUAUAUUAGCAUUCCACAAAAUAUUGAAUGCACCCCACAUUAAAUUUUAAUACUAAAUGAUUUAUGUAUCCUACUAUGCAAUGACAAUUUUGACCUUAUUAGGUUUUAAAAAAUAAAAAAUUUCUAAAUACACCACAAAUCACUUUUAUUAUUUAUCUUCUUUAACUAUCAAAACUUCACCCGCCCUCCAUUUUUUAUGGUUAUUUUCAACUAGGUUUAUGAUUUAUCUAAUAGAAUCGAAAGUACAGAGCAUUUAGGAAGCAUGAAUACUACAAAUUGGAUGAACAUAGAUAUCCGAUAGCUAUAAAAUUUGUUAGCAAACCAUAAUUUUUCAUAUGAAAAAUGCCUACAAAUUCGUAAGAGCUUUUGGCUUCAUUACAUAGGCCAAAUAUUGCUUCGUAAGAUACUACAUCCAAGCACAACUUAAAAGUUCACAUGUAUCAAAAUCAUCAUCGAAAAUUAAUAGGCUACUUAGGCAAGCCCUUGCCUGAACAACAGAGUAGAAUGAAAAACAAAAUCAUAAGACGUUUAAUUUCUAAGAUGUUAGAACAUGAUUCGGAUGGUGAAGCAGUAAACUCGAGUCACAGUUCAAUGAGCCAACUAAGCCGUUUAGAAAUGAACGAAAAACAAAAUCAUAAGAAGUUUAAAAAUGAGUGUUAUAAGAUUUGAAAAAAUGUGGGGUGUAUAGAAAAUGUGAGGUGUAUGGAGAAAAUGUGAGAUAUAUGUUGAGAAUGCAGGGUAUGAGGGUAUUAUGGGGAAGUAUGUGGGGUGUAUUAAGAUAGUUUUUAAUAAUAAAAAACAAAUGUAUGGUGUAUUAAGUAUGUGAGGUUUAUUUAACAAUACGUGAGGUGUUAAUAUAAUAAACCAAAAUUUAUAAAAGGAAAAAAAAACACUUUAUGCUCCUAUCUAGCUAGGAGUAGGUCUACAAAUUAUAAUGUUACGAGGAUUAACGUAAUAAUUAGAGUAUAGUUGAUAUUAUAUAUAGUUACUUUGAUUAUUAUUUUCGCAUUGAUAUUUAUAGACUAGUUCUGAACGGACCUCUCUAGUUUCUUCUCCUGAUCGAGCAGAUCGAGUUUGCACUCAUUGAUAUGUAUACCAACCUGCAUGCAGAAAGAAAAUUCAAUGAUCACGAGUUCACGAGACACACAGUGGCGAAGCCACUUGAGGACUAGGAAAGGUCCGCGCCUAUUCUGAAGUUUCUUCACCUUAUAGCUUUUGUUUGUAUAGUUUUGGUUGAAUACUCUACAUUCUUCAACUUAUGUGUUUUUCUUCCCAAAUAGCCUUAUAGGAACUAGCCUUCCUUAUUAGUUAGUUAGUUCACCAUUUUGCAUGAUUUGUUUUACAAUGAAACUACACAUGUAUGGAAUACAUGAAGAAUUUAUUUUGAAAGACAAUUUUCAUAACUGCAUCCUGAACCAUGAUUAUUAAUUUUUGUUCAACUUGUAUGUAAGAACUUAUAAAAAAAACUUAAUUGCUUAUGAUAUCUCAAUUUUCAUUACAUUACAAAAAAUGAACCUUUUUCUUCCACUAAUUAUAUUAUUUUUGUCCAAUAUUUUUUUAUACGACUUGGAGGGCCCCUAUAAUUUCUAUUUCUAGCUCCGAGACACACAUGCUAUAUAUAAAAUAAGUUCUCUGCCAUGGAUGCAUUGCACCCUUCUGCCUAUCUAACUCCUCACAUAAAGGUCGUACCCAGUGCACAAGGCUCCCGCUUUACGCAGGGUUUGGGAGAGGUGAAUGUCGGCUAGCCUUACCUCCAUUUAUGGAGAGGCUGCUCCCAAGUCUCGAACCCGAGACCUACCGAUCAUGGGCGAAGGCACUUGCCAUCGUACGCUUUGAAAAUAAAAAAAUAAUAAUAAUAAAAAACUCCUCACAUACGCAAGAGUUCAUUGGCACGUUGCAUUUGUAACACCAAAGUUUCUCCCUCAAAAGUGAAGCAUGCCAGCAACGAUCAUGUCUCUGUUAUUCUGGGAAAAAAAAAGUGUUACCGCGGGGAAAGGGAUGAUCUGAUCCCAGCUUAAACCAACAACGAAACUCAAAUUUAGAAGAUGAGAAAUCCAUUAAAAACAACUCUUAAAAGAAGUUGAAGUUCGGAACUCUUGAAAGAUCAUGAACAAAAGCUGCAUCAUCACACGGAAGACAAGAAUCUCAUCAAUGAAUUCCAACAUGACCGACACCAAAGUUUACUAAACAAUUAGCCAUUUGAUUACCUUCACGAUAUAUAUAUAUAUAUAUAUAUAUAUAUAUAUAUAUAUAUAUAUGAGAAAGCCAAAUUCCCAUGGAAAAGAUAAUUGUUAAUAAUUAGAUCAAUCAAACGAUAAAGGGUUUUAGGUCCGCGGGAAAUCCCUUUUCUUAAAACCCCCUAUUCUCCUUUCAUUUGGAGCUACCGUAACUUGGGCUCAUCAUGCUACGCCAAAGCUCCUGAAAGGAUCUAUUAGAAAGAAAAUGCAUUGUCAGAGCAUAAUCGUACUCAAUCCAAAAAAAAUGUCAACCUUUUUCCGAAGUCAUAUUGACAACAUGAACUAUGGCUAGAAGCUCUGCCUACAAGGCAGUAGCAAUACCAAAGGUUCAUACUAAAAACUUCAUAGAUUUUAGACGCUCUUGAAGGCCUACCAUGCACUUUAAGCGCUCGGAGGAUGCAAAACUCAUUAACGGAAUUUAACAUCAUACCCAAAUCCCAUAAGUUCAUUUUAAUUAGAAAGGGUAAUGUUAGGGAGAAUAAAUUUGUACGCAAAAUUUUGUAAAUUAAAUGACAUGAAAGUUGAUGAUUGGAUUAUGACUUAAGCGUUGAUAAAUAUGUUCGUUUCUAUUGAUAACACAUCAUUUAGUUUGUAAAUUUUAUCUACAAAUUUAGUGUUCCUAACAUCAUCCUUUUAAAAAUUUGAAGACGAAUGCCACUAACUAAAUAAUGGAAAAUAAAUAAAUGUGAACAACCACCAAAAAAGUGAGAAAUCUUCCUUUUUAUCGCACUUGUUCUCCACCCUACUAAUUCGACAUUUUAGGAGGACUCCAUUGUUUUGUAGUGAAUGGUCCCCUCUCUUAUGCAUCUGGCCGUACGAGGUCAGUUGUAUUAUUAAAAGGUAUAGAAUACGGUGCUUUGAAAGAGUUAUAAAUACCAAUUUCAAGUUCAAGAGUAGGAUGGUAGCAGAUGCGCCACGAAUGUCCAGCAAAAAAAAUAAAUAAAGGUCUUAGUACUAAUGGGACCAGACCACUAAAAAUGGAUCAAGGGUAUGCCCCAAUUUGAUUUUAUUUUUAUUUUUUGACCCUCUUUAUCAAUUUAAAACCAAAUUUAAUACUGAAUUUUUUAUAAACUAAUUAAAAAGUAAAAAAAUAAAAAAAGUAAAAAAUAAAAAAAAGUAAAAAAAAGUAAAAACCAACCGUCGAUAACCACACACUGCAACCACACAAUAUCGUUGUCGAUGGUGCUCCUCGUAGACGGCAAAGCUUUCUUCCCUUUCUUUUCUUUCUCUUGAAAUUCUGGUACUAGAUCAUGAUGAUCGAUCCAUCCCGUCAAACAACAAACAAUGUGUGAAGUUUAAAAUUUGGGGGAUAUUUAAUUGAAUGCUACGUGACGAUGACUAAUGUCGAUACAACUUCGCCGGCAGGAGAGAGGAAGAGAGAUAUAUAAAGAGAGGAAAAGAAGCUUCGCGUCGAUGAGGAAGAGCCAUAUGGCCGAAAUGCAUGGUGGGGAGGUUGGGGUUGGUGGCAGCAAUGCUACAUUGGGUGAGGUUAUUGUUAAAUUUAUGAAGUGGUUUUUUGUUUGUUUUUUUUUUAAUUUUUCAGUUUUUUUAUUUUUAGUUAAAUUUUAUGCAAAGUAACCAUUCUAAAUUUAAAAUUAAGUGAAGGAAGAUGUGUUAAAAAUUACGAAAAAGAUAUAAACGAGACACAUAUAUAGGAAAACAAACUCACAAACCUAAAAAUAAGCCUUAAGGAUUAUAUAUAUUGCAAAAAAAAAGGGAUUAUAUAUUGUCAUCUUUAAAUCCACUUAUAUAUAUAUAUAAAUUUCAAUUACCAACAAAACCAUUUGGCCUAUAAAUAAGACCUGCUAUGGGGUUUAUCUAUUUUUAUUUACUCAAAUGGACUUUUGGCCCACAAACUUCGAAGCUCAAACCAAGACUUAGACGACCAUCUUAGUUCUCUCUAACUUGUCUGAGGGCUCGAACAUGUUCUCUUUGAGGCGUGUUUGCCACGCAGACGUCUAGGGUUAUGGAAUAUCUUGCCCCCUAAAAUGCAAACACACACGUCAUUUGCCACACUCAUAUCACUAUUGCAUCGUGUUAAUCGCCUCAAGACACAGUUGAAGGUCGCCUACUAGGAAUUACUGUCAUAUAUCCCUGAUCUAGCUCAGCCAUAUGAUCAAGUUUGCUCAUUCUCCCCUGCCUAUGAAUAGAACCAAAAGCCUUCAAGCUCGAUAUGCUCAUCAAAUUCAACCUCUACAUUUAAACAAAAACUUGAUUGAUUGAGUGAUUCUUCAAUCAAUCCAACUACUUUUUAGCACAAACUCAAUUGCUCUUCAGCAAAACUCUUGUAGCUUUUCAACUACAAUUUCAUAGGCUUCCUUCAAAGCAAACAUUGCCUAUGAUACCUGAUAUCUAAAACUUGAUAGCUCUGCCACUCUGUGGUAUGAUUUGCUUGAUGUGCAAAUUCAACCACCCUGAUUUUCUCUCUGAGGUGCAUGCUUUGUACUAAAUCCAACCUGACACCAGUGAUAUCGUUGGACUCCUCUAGCAUUAUCUUGCUCUUCAUAGCCUGAAUCUUGCUAGAUUUUUUCUGCUUUCUUUAUAUUUUCUGUCAAUUUACAUUUCAAGUUAUGUAGCUCGACUCAUCUGCCUAUAUUUUACUUUUGUGAACGUUUUGUAAACUUGACUCCAUCAUGGAAUGAUUACGUUGUGUUUCUCGUUUUAGUUUCUAUUUCGCUUUUAUUUACUUUUUUAGGCAAGCAUACACGAAACCAUACUAAACCUUAAGUCCUCAUUCGCUUGAGGCACGUAAAAGAACUUAACUGAACCAGCGUCUCACUCGUUGCACAAUCAUUUGGUUAAGAAGUCAUAUUAAAGUGCAACUUCACACACAGUCAAACACAAACAAUGUUUGUUGGCAGCCUCCAACAAUCGCACGCCUAUUUUAUUUUUCUCUCAAGCCAUCUCGUGACACUAAGACCGAAAGCAACACUCGAAAAAAAUAGAUAUUGACCCUAAUAUAGAUUCCGUCUGAGUUUUGAAACCAACGAAAACUCUCAUUACUUAUCCUAAGCCUGGACCACAAAAUGAAAAUCAUGCUUUACUAUCAUUUUAAAGUUUUUUAUCUUGUUAUCUUUCCUUAAAAUAGGAAUUGUCAAGAUUCGUCUCUUUAAUAAUAAUAAUAAAAAAAAGAAUUAACUUAGCCACAUAUUAUACCACGUAAUUUUUGAAUUGCACAAAUUUAACAUCUCCAUUAGUUUCAGGAUUUUACCGUCUAGUUAAACAUUUAGUGUUGCGUGACAUAGACUACGCUGGCAUUUAAAGCAACAUUGACCAUAAUUUCAUUGUUUAGUACUUCACUCUUUCAAUAAUUUUAUGAAAUUGAAGGUCAACAUAUGAUUCAAAUGUGGGGCCGGUCUUUGCUACGUGAGCAUUUAAUGUCUAAUUAGACGGUGAAAUUAACAAAAGCGUUAAAUUAGUGCAACUCAGAAAUCAUGUAAUGUAAUAUGCGAAAAUUAAAAUCUGGUGGCUCAUUUUACAAAUGAUCCUCAAACUUUGUGGUGUAAAGUGAGUUUAACCCAAUAUAAAAUUAGUGAACAAGGUCUACAUGAUGCACGAAGAAGUUAAGUUAGUGGCCAACUGCGGCCACAAACCACCACAAAAGCGAACAUAAAAGUAAACAAAUUAAUUACCCAAAAAAAAAAAAAACUAUUCAAUUCUAGGAGAUCCUUCCGAAUGAGGGAACACACGAGACACAACUAUUCAAUUCUACAUAUGGGUUAGUCACUCAAUACUACGGUCUAGUGGUAUUCCUCUUCAUUUGGAAGUGAGAGGUCUUAUGUUCGAAUCCCAUGUUUGACGAAUUCAAUACCAAAUUAGGUUGCCCAUUGUGUGGCUUAACCGAACUCCCUCUCCCCUUAGUGUAAAAAUAUCGAUGUAUUAAAAAAAAAAUUCUACAUAUGGGUUCGAAACGUUAUUGUGGCACAUGACUUCCCAAACGAAAGAAAGAGACCAAAUUCGAAGAGUGCAUGUAAGUUCUUCCUUUUUCGAAAGGCCGAAAGGCAAAUACAAACACAAGAAGCCACCUCACGAACAAAAAAACAAAACCAAUUUAAUUAAUUUGACAAGAGAGACCAACCCACCAGCAGCUGGUAACAAUUAGAAAAGAGAAAUAAUGAUCCCUCCGUUUUGUUUUGGCAAAUAUAUAGUUACCAAACUACUUUCCCAAAUAUAGUUGUUUUUUUUAUUUAACUAAAAAAAUAUAUAGUUACCAAACUACUUUCCCAAAUAUAGUUGGGGCAGCACCCACGUUCCACAGUUACCUCAUAAUUCCCCUUUCAAUUGAUUGAGUUUGACUAAUCCGCAGUUUUCAACAUUACAAAAUGAUUUUGACGCUUAUGUUAUUAAUUAGAAAAACUUGGGACAUUGUGUCUAAUACGAUGAUGUUACAUCAAAAUUUGUUUUUUUUGACGUAAAUUUUCUUAAACAAACAUAUCACCACGAUAUUGAUAAUUAUGUAAUUAAAAUAUAUGGAUAGUUAAUAAUAUGAACAACACUUAAUAGUUGUUGAUAUAUAGGUGGUUGAAUAUAUGCAGUGCUCAAAGAGCUCGACCUAAGAUUCCAUCCUUAGAUGUACAUAUUUAUUUUCUAGAUUUAUUUUGCAUAAAUCUAGUAAAGAAAGUAAAAAUAUAUAUGCCGAUAUAAUUGAAGGUGGCUUUAAUGCAGCUACUAAGGUCUCGUUUGGCAGCUCGAACUGUACUGACUAUUGUUGUCGGAUAAGAUAAAUAGUCACUGGAUAGUACUGACUAAAUUAGUCGGACGUUUAGUGCAGUAUUGGACUAAUGACCGUAUUAUUUAUACUGUGUUUGGUACUGAACCGGAUAAGAAAAGGGAAGGAAAAUUUUGACAAAUCUUUGUUUCUUUGUUUGUUGAGAUCCAAAAUGGAGCCCCAAAGAGUUUGCAGUGAAGGAAGCUGAGAGAGAUGUAGAGGCGGAGAAGAGGGAGGGAGAUCCUGCGGUAGCCAGAAGAAUAUGCAGGGAGAGAACCGAAGAGUCUGCGGUGGAGGAAGCAGAGAGAGAGAGAUGCAACGAUGGAGAAGAGGGAGGGAGAUCCUGCGGUAGCCAGAAGAAUAUGCAGGGAGAGAACCGAAGAGUCUGCGGUGGAGGAAGCAAAGAGAGAGAGAUGCAGCGACGGAGAAAAGGGAGGGAGAUCCUGCGGUAGCCAGAAGAAGAUGUAGGGAGAGAAGAGUCUUGUUCUGGGUGGUUGGAUGGAACCUGCUGGUGGUGGUGGUUCAUGGUGGCCGACGAAGGAAUUGGGUUUUGGGAUUUGUGGGAUUCUUUGGUUUCUUGGAAGCUGCUUGGAAUUUUGGAGAGUUUUGAUUGGGAAAAUGGAGGGAGUGUGGUUGGUUUUUGUAAGCAGAGAGAGCGGCUGGGAAGAAUAAGAGAGGGAGGGAAACGAAGAAGAAGAACAGAGAGAGGGAAAUAACAGAGGGAGGGAGAGAGCGCCGACUAAAUUGUCCCAUGCUUUUGGAGAGUAUAAGGAAGCGGGUAUUCACCGGAUGAAAUAGGUGGGUCGGAUUAUUUAAUCCGGUGACUAUUUAAUACAAACGGACACCAAACACCGUACUCCAUAUUAUUAGUACUAUCUGAUGCUUUAUACGGUGUGCCAUACGAGGCCUAAUAGUAUUUUUCCUAUGUGGUUAUUAUGGAUAAGGGAAGUCAUGAACGAGAACGUUAAUAAUGUAGGAGAAAAUAAAUGAGUAUGAAAUCAACUACCUUCUAAUGCAUUUUGUUUCUUCAGGUAUUGGAUUACGAAUUAUAAUAUGAAACUUAAUUACAUAAUUUUUAUUUCGUAUGUGUUAGUAAAUAAACAAAAAUCAUAAAUCAAAAUAAUCAACAUUUCAGAUAAAUAAGCAUGCAAUUGUACAUGUUGGCUAAUUAAAAUGAAAUCCCAUAUAAAUAGUUCACUAGUUAUAAAGCCCUUCAAGAAAAAUGUAAAAGAAGACUCUUCCCUUUUCCCUUAACGGUGUGGGUGGUGUGGCCUGGAAGCAGCCAUACUAGAUGAGCACCCUGGCGCUAGAUAGGCGUCACAAAUUAUCAGCAGUUCGUAUCUUAUAUUUUCUGUUUUUUAUAAAAUUAAAUAAAAUCUUUUCCGGAAAAGAAAAAGAAUAAAUAAAUCUUUUAAGUUUGAGACAAAAGAUUAAAGGGAUUUUGUUUUUUUUUUUUUUUUUUUUUUUGACAGGUGAUAAGAUUAUAUACAUUAAAUUACGCAGAAGGAUUUCGAAGAAGUGUGGGACAUCGGAUGCAAGGGCAAACGUGACAAGCCACUUGAGAUUAAAAGAGUGAAAUGGAUAGAAGGAUCUUUUAAUCUUUUUUUGUUCAAAAAAAAAAAAAAAAGUAAAAUUCAAGUUUUUAUUUUUAUUUUGUUACCGAUAAAAUAAUUAAAUUAAAGUCAUCUAAAAUGUUGAGAUGAGAAUUCAAACUUGGAUGUAGAGUAAGCACAUUGUUCUAAUUAAUUUGACUAAAUCCAUGUGUAUAAACGUCUAAAUUUAAGUUGAAGAUGCUUGUGUUUCACUCCUCUUUCCCAUGAGGAAUACAUUUGAGCUUCGUCAUAUAUUUUUCGCGUAUGAAAUUCAACUGCUGGUGAUGUUGAUCUGACUGGAUCAUGUUAAAGAAGAAGUUCAAUCCUAGUAUACUAAUUUUCCUUUAAUGGUAAACUGAAUUGCUAAGUGUUGAUCUAGUGUGCUGUUUGACUUUUGGGUAUAGAUUAAUAAUUAGGAGCUUUUCUAGCCAAAUGGUCUAGAGAAGAAAAGCUCCUAAUUAUUAAUCAUUUUGAUCUAGAGAAGAAAAGCUCAAAUGAUUAAACAAAAUGAUUAGGAGCUUUCUUAACAAAAUUAAGGAUAUUUUUGUCAUUUUGGUCUUAUUUAAUGGAAAUUUUUCACAAAAUGAUCAAAAUGAUUGAUGGUGGACAAUCGAGGACCACUUCUAUCUAUUUAAAUCUCAGAGACCAAAUUGAGGAGUUAUGCCGAUCUCAUGGACCAUUUUGGCUAAAAAGCCAUUCUUAAUACACUAAAAAUGGUAGAGAUUUUUAUAUUCCACAUAAAUAAAGCUUGGUGGAGGCUGGCUAACCUAUCAUGAUUUGAUUAGAUACAAAUUGGUGCUGUGCAUAGAGAAAAAAAAAAUCUUGUUAAAUUUGACAACACUAUCAUUGUUACAAAUUUAGUACAACAUGAAUCUACCAAUUAUAUUAAAUAUAAUUUUGAGUAAUUACAAACUUCCCCCUAUUUCUAGUGGUUGUUCCACUUCUGUUCUCAAACAUUUUUAUCGUCCUUGGGUAGUCUCUAAAGUUUUAAAGAUAUGUAUUAAAUGAGACAACAAUGACUUCAUUUACAAAAGUUGAAGCGUUUGAUUCGGUUAAUUUUUUGUUUGUUAAAACAUACCGUAGGGUCAACUAUGUUAGCUCGAGAGAUGUUCGAUCAACACCGAAUUAAGUUGAUAUAAAGUUUUCCAUUAACCAAUAUAACACUAAAAACACUCAUAUUGAGAGCGUAUGUAACAAAAGGAUAAUAAUUAAAACAUAUUAUUCGGUUAUUCUACUACACAACUGAUUUUUUUUAAAGUACAAACAAUUUUUUUUUGUUCAUUUAGUUUUAGUGGUGAUUAAAAAAAAAGCUCCAAAUUAAACUGAUCAAUUUGGGUUUGGUGCUUUCAUUCAUUUUUUUUUUUAGAACAAAGGCCUAUAGUACUCCUAAAGAAAAAUGGUUGCAUGCCAAGUGCCACCAAAUGAAAGGGCGUCCUAGACAUAUAGAUGAGUUAUCGAAUUCGCCUUUUGUUAACAAAAUGAGUUAUUGAAAUCCGUUUAAAAAGUGGUCACAUGCUGUUUCAUUAAUUUCUUUUAUUGAAUGUAACUUUUUUGUUAAUAAAUACACUUUAACACAUAAAGGACAAACUUGGAGAGGAAAUUAAGUUGAAGACGAAAGUGGAAAAGCACGAAGUGUUUAGGAGGGCAACACGAAUUUAACAUUCUACCAGUAUAUUUUUUUCAUCGAGAGAUAGGCCAUAUAAAUUUGGAUGGUUAGAAAUAUAAUGUUAUAAUUCAUACUUAAUUAAUCUUUUGUUGGAAUAAUUAAUAAAGCUUAGAACCGCCGUCAGCGACGGCAAAUGCAUACCAUGCUGCCAUGAUGCCUUCUGUUUGGUCCCGCAGGGCUUAACUUGACAUGAUAUUUGUACGGACUGUCUGCAAUCCUGUGACUAAACUGAGACACUAAGCAGCUGAAUUGGCCUUUUGGACCACUACCAAUUCGACAACGCAUUACCCCAAUACCACCAGGUUUCCCAAAACCACCAUUCUCUCUCUCUCUCUCUCUCUCUCUCUGUUUCCAUAUUUAUGCACAGCGCCUUUGCCUCCACAAAACUAAACCAGAACACUCCCCAAUACAAAAAUAGAAAGACACUACAAAAAAACCCCUUCUUUCUUCCUUAUCAUGCUUUUGCUUUUUAUCAUCAUCCAGCGGCUUCCUUUCCUUUCUUGUAUGAACCAAAUUUAGGGUUUUCUCUCAAAUUGGGUAUAUUUUCAAUCUCUUGGGUUUCUAAGCACCAAAAAAGCAAGUGUUACUUCUUCUUCUCCCUCCUUUCUAUAUUUAGCAAUAUAUAAGAAAAAAAAAAGAAAGGGAAAAUAAAAAGGAAAAAAAUGGGAAGAGGUAAGGUUCAGCUGAAACGAAUCGAGAACACGAUAAGCAGGCAAGUGACAUUCUCAAAGAGGAGGACCGGAUUGCUCAAAAAAGCUCAUGAGAUCUCUGUUCUGUGUGAUGCUGAUGUGGCACUUAUUGUCUUCUCCACCAAAGGGAAGCUCUUUGAGUAUUCUACUGAUUCCAGGUCCUUACGUUUACUUAAGCUUUUUAAGCUCAUAUAUUUAUCUGGGUAUAUAUUUAUGUCUAUUUUUUUUCCUGCUUCUUGUUGGUGUUUUUUGCUUGUGUUACUCCAGAAAUCUUAAAUACGAAAACAAAGCUAAGCUUAAUUAAACAACAUACACACUUGAGCUCUCUCUCCCUCUAGUUUUUUCUGGAUCGGCCUUUUUAUCUAUUUUUGGUACCAUAUCUAAGGGGUCUACAUAUAUACAUGACAAAGUUAUGAACAGAAAUAAUUAGUACUUCUGUUUUUUUUUUUUUUAUAUAAAUUUUCUCCCUUUGACUUGCUAGAAAUUACUAGCAUACAAAACUUCUUGUUUUUUUAUUUGUUUUAUCUUUAGUUUAUUUUGAUCUUUUCUAAUUAGAUUAUUGUCAGAAUAAGUAGAUAGAGUUUUGAAGUUUUACCCAUACAUCUUAGAUUAAAAACCCCUUGCUCUCCUAAGUUAUUGUAAUAGGUUCAAACUCUCUUCAUCCCUUAAUAAUAGUAAAACUCUAAAAUAAAAAAUAUUGUCGGAAUAAGUACUUACUGGUCAAAUCAGGAGAAUGAAUUAAUUAAUUAACUUUCAAGUGCUAAUUUUAUAUGAAUAUCUGUGUACUUAAAAGGGACAUUUAAUCCAUUCCUGUAAUCCGGUGGUCUUUAUGUAUGAAGAUUAUAUAAGACACUGGUUACAAGGCAAUAUAUACCACCACUACUGAGUACUGUCUGAGUAAAGGGUUAUGUCUCUCAUGUAGAACCAAAAGAAAGCGCAGUACCAUGGGGGAUGCUCUUGCUUGUACUUUUCAAAUUAGCAGUUAUCUUUUAUAAUAAUUUGUUUACAGGUGUUGGACCCGGGUGAGGGUUAUUGAGCAAUGUGUCAUGAUCGGGGUGGUGUUUUCCUAGGUUUUGUUACCUAGGGUAUAUGUUUGAGCAUCUUGUAAAUGUAGCAUAUCCCAUAUAAUGCUGGUUGUGCACCCAGGACUUAGGAGAAAGCACUCCUCCAAUCAUACAGUAAAUUGUGGAAAAGUUGCAUAAGGGAAAGAGAGAAAAAGUAUGUUGAUUCGUUACUAUAUUUGAUUCUGCAAGGGCUAGUGGUGAGUUGCUUGGUAGUUAGAGUUUUCGAGUCCAACUCAUUGCGUUUCGGGCUUAAACUCUCCCUGCCUCAUCUUUAAAGUAAAUUAGAGUAGAAUAUCAAUCACUUGUAAUACAAAAAUUAUGAUUCCCAAAAGGAUUUUUCAUUUUGGUGUGAUUAACCAUUUAGACAGACAACAAGAAUUAGGGACAUCUGUAAUUAAGCAGAAUCCAAGUAUUUUAUAAUGAUUGUUAGCUAGGUAAAUUUCCCGAACUUGUGUAUGCUGUAAUUCAUACACUUACCAAAUGGAGGAUGAGAACUUUCAAAAGUUUGGAAAUCAUUUUAAACUAGCCUGAAAUUACCUAAUAGAUUUCAUAAAUGAAUAUUUGCUCAUUUCAAAAUUUAUAUUAUUAACUACUUCUUCUUCUUUUUUCGCCACUUAAUUAGUACUACGGUCUAGCGUUUACUUAUCAGUGAGAAGUCUAAGGAUCGAAUAUCGUGAAUGGAAAAUUUGAUACUAAUUUAUUCCUCCCACCCUUUAAUGUAAAUAUUUCAUUGUAUAAAAAAAAAUUCUCUUUCUUUUCAUUUUGGAUUAGUUUUAUAAAAUGCAUGAUAUACCAUUGGACAUAAUAGAAUGUAAGUGUGGAUAUUAUUAGGAAACUUAUAUCUAUGAGAUUAUGUGAAUCUAAGAGCCUGUUGUGUAACAUUUUCCUUCUUGGUUUUAAAUUUCUCUCUUUGUUUAAGAUUGAGAGGAGGUAUACAAAAGAAAAGAGUGGCAAAGAAUGGUGGGGGAAAAGUGGUAGGAGGGAGGUGGUAGAAAUGUUUGAAGAAUACUAUAUAAGAUGAAAACUAAUUAAAAACUAACACUACUUUAAAGUUUUGUUUCAUUUAUUAUCCUUCAUUUCUUCAUUCUCACUCCAUCCUCCUUUACCCUUCAUUUCCGUAUAUUUUUUUGGUGUUUCAAAACUACGAAAACUAAAAUCAAAAUUAAAAAAGUUAUAAAUAGGUUUUAAGGAAAUAAGUUACUCAAUAUAAUCAUCAAGUAUAACUUUUGCAUUUUUCCCAACAAGUGAAAUCAUGUAUGUUGUGUUUGGACGAGUGAUUACCAAGUACUAAGUGCUUUAGGCUAUAAUGGCAAGAAAUGUCCUAAAAAAUAUAAGAUAUAUGGAGAUUAGGAAGACUAUGUAAUGCACUUAGUGGAAUUUGUUAAUUAGUACCAAAUGAUUUAAAACUACUAUUUAAAAUGAGUUAUUUGAAACCAUUGUUUAGUGACUUUAAUUAGUGUUAUUUCAAUCCCUCUAUCUAAUGUCAUGUUGUGUGUUUCUAACUAAUUUAGGCUAAACUCAUUAGUACUUGGAAAUCCCUCAUCGAAACACAGCAAAAAUGAUUUCACUUGCAUGCAACAAUAUAACGAGCUAAACUUGAUGACAAGAAAGCAUUACUCAUAAAGUUGAAGUUUAUUGGCCCAUUUAGAAAUACUUCUCUCGAAAUCACUUUCACUUGUAAGCAUUUUUGCUAAAGGUAUUUUGUGUUAGAGGCACUCUGAAAAAGAACAUGAAAGUAAGCAACAAAAAAGCAUUUCAAGCGUUUUUACAAUCCAAAAACACUUUUAAUAACUUUUUCUUCAAAAUAUUGGCCUUUUGGAUCCCAAAAAGUUGAUAUCUUUUCUACACUUGUAUUUAUUCGCCCUCCAACCGUACAAUUUUAUCUCCUGAGUCUAGGGUUUCUGCAAGCUAAAGAGCUGUAGCCACCCUUUUGCCUUAAUGUUUAACCAAGAAAAUAGGACUCAAGAGUUUUACCUAAAACCGUCAAGCUAAGUAUGUUAGAAUCUAUGAGUUGAACUUCUGUUCCUAACUUCAGUUCAAGCUAUAUAUUAAGAUGUGAGCUCAUGAGUCAACAAUUACAUUAUGCUUUAAUAUAUUUUUCUAACGUAUAUACCUACAUCUCCUUCUCAUUGGCGACGCUCAAAAUAUAUAACGAGAAAUUAAGCAGGGAGGGGCGAAUUAUGUGUAUAUGACAGAUUUUAUUGGUCUACUACACAUUAUUCUUAAAAGAGUAGUGCUACACUUACUAUCUACUUGUACCAUCAGUUGUACCAUCUCUUUAAUAGAGGCAAGGUCCUAAAAGAUGUUAGGCGUUAACUACAAAAAUAAAAUGACAUAUAUAAUGAAAACCUGGGGAACAAGCAUAUAAUGUGUGUUCAUUUAAGUAUUCAACAAGUCUCUUACAAGUUAUUGAAAAAAAUAAAAUAUAAAAUAAAGUUAUCUAUUUUCUAUCUAAGUGAGUCGCGACUUAGGCGGGUGCCUAGGCAGGUUCAGGCGGGCUAGGUAGGCGCCUCAACUAGUCUAGGUGCCCUUUCUUAGUUUUCAAACGCCUUGACAUUAAUCGGGCGUCUAGCGCCUAGGCGGGCCUAGGCAGCGCUAGGUGGGGAUUUUUAGAACAUUAAAGAUAGGGUCCGCCAAUGCACGUGAGAAUGAGUACAAAUAGAUAGUAAGAAUAAUAUUUUUAUUCUUAAAAACAAGUUUCUGCUGAAUAUACGCCAACAAUUAUAUCUUAUAUUUUACAUUUUAAAUGUUUAAUCUCCAAAGAGUAAUACUAGAGAGACCACAUUUUUAUACCACAUUAGUGUACCAUCUCAUGUAGCAAGUAAUGCAUACAGCCAACGUCCAAUGACAUAAAUUCAUUAAUUGACAUGACAUGUACACAUCACUUGCCACAUGAAAUGAUUCACCAAUGUGGUACAAAAAUGUAGUCUUCCUUACAUUUUCCUAAUUUGAAUGGUUCAUUCUAGGGUCAUUUCCUGUUGCAAUAAAUUUGUUGUAAGAUUCUCAACCUAAUGUAUAUAUGCCUUGUGUUUCCUAUGCUUAUUAAGUUGCAGGGUUUGCAAUUAUAAACCAAACAUUUACGUUCAUGUGCUUGGCAUGGUGAACUCAUCCAUUUCUCGUAUUAGAAAUAACACACACGGUUAAUUAAUUACUUGCACAAUACUAUAAUGUAAUCACUACAGAAGUCUAAGCCAUUACACUAGAUUACAACUGCAAAUGUUGAACUGGAUCUGCGGUUUUUCAUAGUGAGUGUUGCUGGCAGAGAAAGAAAUACGUAAGUUGCUGCACAUAUAGUUGGAGAACUCUACACUAAACGGAACUUAUGUAUUUCUUUCUCUACCAGCAUAUUAGGUUUAAAGCAAGUUUAUAUGGCCAAAAUAUGGAAGGUUGCAUGCAUAUAUGCGCCGAUUGUUCAAGUUAGGGGUUCUUUCUUAAUUUCCAGAUGAUAAGUAUCCAAAGCUAUACACAACAAAAGUUUUGUGCUUGGUGAUCUUUUUCUGAAUUUCGCUUUUCAACAAUUCAUCUACUUUUAUGAAUCUGAUAUGCAUUCUUGGACAAUCAUGUAUGAUGUGCGCUUAUUUCAUAUUUAUAAGCUUCAUUGGCUUGUCAUUCUGAAAGAUUUCAUUUUUGUGAAGCAUGGAGAGGAUUCUGGAUCGAUACGAACAAUAUACCGUUGCAGAACGGCAACUAAACGGAACUAAUUCUGAAUCACAGGUAUUUUAUAUAUGCAUCCUAGACUAGUACUAAUAUGUAGAAGAAGAUAACAAGUUGCAUCAGUUAGGUUUCUUUCUUGUAUAUAUGCUUUUAGAGUUGAGAAUUGGUUACAAAUUGAGAGCACUUUUCUCCUUUCAUGUUCUGUAUCCGAUUUAUAUGAAUGUGUGUCCUUCAGUGCAUUACUGAUCGGCCGGAGAUUGAUUUAGGGUUGUUAACUGAUUGCUAAACUUGUCUUUCUAAUAAGAUUGGAUUAGGUUAAGCCAUUUAUAAAGAUACUGCAGAAUCCAUAGUUUUCUGUUAUUUAUACGUUUCAUAUAUAUUCACCUCAUUGAGAUCCUGCGGAAUCCAUAGUUUUCUGUUAUUUAUAUGUUUCAUUAUAUAUUCACCUCAUUGUUUUUUAGAUAAGUACGAUAAUCUUUAAUAUUCAAGAACCGUACAAAAGCAAGGGUGCAUAAUGUAGCCUCGUUAAAACCUUGUCAAAGAAAUAAUGUGAGGCGCCGCCUAACCAAUUUUUGUAAUACUAUGGAUAUGUUCUUGCAUUUGAAAACCCUUGUAAUAACUUCUGAAUUUUUUGUUUUGUCAAACAAUAAAUUUGUUAGAUUAAAUGUUAGAAAAGAGAGCCGACAGGUUCGAACCCACACCGUGGUGUAAGGGCAACACUCAUUUCCACCAUUGUGGUAAAAGGUCACUUGCAAUAACUUCUUAAUUUUAGAUUGCGUUGAUAAAGCUUGUAUACUUCUUAUAGGAAAACUGGUGUGUGGAAUACCCCAAACUUGCGGCAAGGAUUGAAGUCAUACAAAGGAAGCUGAGGUAAAUUAUUUAAGCUAUUGUAAAUGUUAUGAUAAAAUGUUCAUGGGUUGUGUUUAAUGUCGAUCUAGGAAUUUUACGGGAGAAGAUUUAGGACCCUUAAGCUUGAGAGAGCUUCAAAAUUUGGAGCAACAGCUUGAUACAGCUCUUAAGCGCAUAAGAACAAGAAAGGUAAUGAAGUUACCUCAAUUAAUAUGAAAUCUGUCAUGUAUAGUUUACAGGUAUGCUACCUCUGGGCAACUAAUUAAUAAACGAUUUUUAAUUACUACUAAUUCCAUAUAUAAUUCUGGCAUUUUCAGAACCAACUCAUGCAUGAAUCCAUUUCAGAGAUGCACAAGAAGGUAUAAAGUUAUUCCUACAUGCAUCUGUGUGGACAUUAAUCUGUAUGUUUCUGGUUGAUUAGCUUAAUUGUAACCUUAAUUACGUAUAUACCUUCAUUCAGGUUGUUUUUAGCAUCAUAUUUUAGGUUUGUUUAGUUGGAUUAGCAUCAUAUUCAAGAUGAAUGAAACUGGUGUUUAUGCAUGCAUAUGUCGUACAUCUCACACUGUGACUUGUAACAGCAAAAGGCACUACGGGAACUAAACAACUCGCUAGCAAAGCAGGUAUUAAAAAUUUCAAAAGCGCUCUUAUAUGUUUAUUUAUGAGAAAUAUUUUCUUAGAAUAAUAAUAAAAUUAAAUCUUGGAUUAACCGCAAAUAUUAAUUGAUUCAAGGUCAAGGAGAAUGGAAAGAUGCUUGAGGAAGAGCAUGAUCAGGUGCAGGUAGUAGGGCGGCAGCAGCAAACUAACCAAGGCCGCCACAACUCAUCCACCCUCAUGCUAAUGCCGCCACCCCAACCCCCAUCGACACCAUCACUACCUACUUCUCGAAGCACCAGGUCUCUCUCUCUCUCUCCAGCAAUGUUUCCAUAAGAUCAUAUGCUCAUGCAUAAUUAAUUAGUAUUCUUAGAAGGCUUUUUAGCCAAAAUGGUUUUUGAGAUUAGCAUAACUGGUCCCUUUGAAAAUCGAUAGAAGUAGUCUGAAUUUGUCCACAGUCAAUUAUUUGGUCAUUCUAUGAAAAAUCUUCGUUAAAUGGAAAAGUAAUUAGAGGGAUUGAUUGAACAAAAAUACCCUCAAUUUAACGAAGAUUUCGCGAAAUGACCAAAAUGAUUGACGGUAGACAAACUUAAGGACCAUUUUUAUCGAAUUUCAAUCUCAAUGACUAAAAUGAGGAAUUAUGCCAAUCUUAAAAGAUCAUUUUGGUUAAAAAAGCCUUCUUAAAACUAUAUAAAGUUUUAGAAGUGGAAUGACAUUAGGGUUGCAUGGAAAAACUAAUAAUAUCUACAUAGAAAACCAUGCAGUGGGGGAUUCCAGGCAAGAGGAGCAACGGACGGUGAUUACGAGGGAAGACCUCGGCCACCUGCUGCUAAAAACACACACAUGCCACUGUGGAUGCUUUCGCCAUUUGGAUGAAAUAUAAGCUUUGCCGUGCCUACUAGUCAAAUAAAAUUCCAAUGUUUUGGGUUGUGGGAAUGUUCCAAGAUGCAUACCACUAAUCAAACAUUUAAUUUACAUCUACUGUUAAUGUGCUUUUUGUUAUUAUAAUUAAAGAAUAAGAAAAACAAUGUUUCUUCAGUCUUGUACUAUUCUAAUCAUCUUGAAAGGAAUUUUGAGGUUCACAUACGAUACAAGUAUGUAAAGUCCCACAUCGAAAACCUAACAAUCAUAUGUGCCAUAUUAUUAGCAUGUCGUUGAUGUCGAUACAGACAGAAGUUAAAACGUAAUUUCCAGCAUGAACAUAAGAUUAUUUAGUAGCUUAUAGUGAGAAAUCUUCCCGUAUGGUCAUUAAUCAAGUCUAUUUCAUGUUUUUUAUACAACUAAUAGUGAACAGUUACAUAAACAAAUUCAACAUCUCAAUAUGAUGGUUCUUGACACAACUAACUCCGUACUUCUUAGUUGUGGUUACAAAUUAUAGCAGUUUGACAUAAAUUCAAAGGGUUUAACCCCUUCACAAUCUGAUUACGACAACUCCGAAUACCUAAUUCAUAACCAGAUUGGAAAUAAAGUGAUUACAUUGACACAAAUUGACAUAAUGGAUGUCAGUUUUAAAUCUAAUCCAAUUGUUUCUUCACUUGGUAUAACCGCUGGCCUAAUUGUCUUCAAAUUCACAGUCGCCACCCUCGAGGACAUGCUGCCUGCAGAAAAAAGAAACGAAUAUAUUGGCAUCUUCAUCAUAGAUAAAAAUAAAGAACACGGGAAAAGAAGCAUUUCAAAACCAACGGUGCAAAGCUCCAAGUACAUUACCAGUUAAUGGAAUAUUAUGUGAUCAACAAAUAGAACGCUCUAAGGAGGAAACGCACGCCUCUAUGAACUAGAGAACUCUUACGAGGUAGUUUCAGUUCCUGUGUUUCUAUUUCCUAUUGACUGUAUGACAUAUGUUCUGACCUCUCUCCACUCUUCCCUUUUAUUAAAAUAACUCCAUAAAAAAAGAAGCUAAAUUACACUUUUUGUUACCAUAGUCUAAACCUGAUUCCAAUCUUGUCCCUGUAAUUCUAAUUGUAACAAAUUUACCAUUAUUUCUUAACAUUUUCAAAGCGAUUCAAACAGAGUUCUAAAAUAUUUUAUCCUAUUUUUACCAAGGCAGAUAAACGAUCAAUAUAUAAUUAUGGAAUCAGAUCGUGGAAGAAGGUUAAAUUUGUUGACCUUUGGACCAGCCAUGAAAAGAAAUCCAUACCUUAAUCUUUCACAAAGCCGUGCCAAAGCAUCUGAACCUGUUCUAGACGCAAUGUCUUCAAUUGUAGAAGCAUUCUUUAGAUUAACACUAUCUGCAAGAUUAAAUUCACACAAUUCCUUCAAGGAACAUGCAUCAGUCAACACGGCUGAAUGGCCACCACCAGCUGCAAGUUUUCGCACUUCCCCAACGCACCUGUGUGAUGCAAACUUCAAUCAAUGUAUCAAUCAAGAAAGCCACGAAAAACCUGAUCAUGAACAAUUUAUCUGUACCGUACCAAUCAACCGGGGAUGGAUACCAAGCAUAAGUUGAUUUCUCGUUAGAUGCCUGACCAUAGCUAUUGUAGCCCCAUCCAUGGAUUCUUCCAUCCCUUGUAGAGAUAAGUGUGUGGGAGUGUCCGCAUGCAAUGAGUUGCACACUAGUUGGAACAACCAAUGCAGGAAUGUUACGGAAAAAAGACUGAGAUUCAUUAGGGUUGCAUGAAAAUAAUCCCGUUUCAGGGCCAAGGCCUAACUGCCCUGCUCGACCACCACCCCAAGCAUAAAGAGCUCCCUUCUGAGUCACAGCACAUGUAUGUACGCCACCACAUGCAACAUCCUUUAUGACUAUUCCAUCAAGUGCGACCACUCGCCUAGGCAAUAACUCUUUCUCCCCAGAUUGAAGGGAAGAAUGCCCAAGUUGACCCAUGUUUCCUAGCCCCCAAGUAUACCUACGAGUGCCAAAUAAAAUUAUUGUGAAGAAGAAUUCCGCAAAGAAACCAAAGUUAAACAAACAAAUGAACAGAAAAUGACUUACUCGAUGGGAAGACUACAUAACAGAUAAAGAGUACAUGAGUAUAAUUGAAAUAUCAGUUCAUGACAUGUAUCAAUAUCAGAGUAACCUCUUUAUCUAGAACCUUGGUUAGUAAAACAACUGAGGUAAAAAAAAUUCUGAAGACACAACUCCAAUCACAGAUUAAAACACAAAUAUAAAUGUAAUCCAGUAUUCUAGGCAUCCUGUCUCCUUUCAAAUGUGAGAUUCCUAUACGAAGAUUUUCGCAAACCUUCUGAGUUAAAUGUGCCAUGCGGAUAACCACAAUGCUUUAGCUUAACUAUAGAACCUAAUCUCCAUCUAAGAAUUCCUCAGAUCACUUACACCUCGCCUUUUUCAGAUAUAGCUGCUGAGUGGUACUCCCCGCAUGACACUUGGGUAAUCUUCACAAGCUCAGGGGCUUCAUCUAGGAACUUCGCAUAUGCAUUUAUUAUACGAGCCCCCUGUAAUCCGUCACAUGUAAAUCCUCUGCCAAGCUGACCAUAUUCAUUAUAUCCUGGUGUAUCAUCACAGUAUUAAAGUUUGAUUAAUUAGAGGUGGGAGAAGAUGAAUUUAAGGUUUCUUUCAGUUUCUAUGGGAUAUGUAACUCUAGCAAAAUUUCGCUAGAAUAGGAUUCAGCUCUAACAUAUGUACCUUGAAGCUGCUUUAAAAAAAACAGUAAGACAUUAUCAGAAACUAAAGACUGGAAUAUGCAUUUACCCCACGCUUGUAGCAUGCCAUCCUCUGAUAAAGCGAUCACAUGAACUGCCCCACAAGACACUUGACGGAUAAUCUGUGAAAGACUUUUUAGUAAGUAGAAGGUAUUAAAUUUGAUAACCAUCCACUCUACUCUAAUAAAAGAAUUCCGAUUCCAUUAUAUAGUGUUCCUUUAGUUAAGCAUUUGAUACGACAGGUAUUCAUAUCUAUCUUCUUGCAGGCUUUCGAGUUGUGAUCUAAGACUAGGUCUCACUUUUAAAUGCAUUGCCUGCAGUGGCAAAAAACCCUAGUAGUUGUUCAUCAACCAACCCAGGUAAUGCCAAAAAUCAAGGUUAUUAAAAUUAAUGCCCCAACUUUUUCUUAAUAGAACUAAUUUACCUGAUAAAAGAAAAUGAUUUUAGCCACAACUGAAAGUUGAUGAGCUCAUACCGAGUCAUUUGUAAAUCGACUAUCCAAACAAAAUAGUAAUUCUAAUACCGAACAAUUCCAACCUAAAAAGAAAAGCAUAAUGAAUAGGAAGUGUAGCAUACCGUGUUUGGAGUAAAGACUCCCCAAAACAAACGUGGAGAAUUCGAUCCCUGUAUGAGAAGUAGGGGAAAAGGUUAAACAAAUUAUUAUAUCUGCCAAAAGGGAAUGAAGUAGGAAUGAAGGUACAGAAAUUCAUAGUAGGACCUGAUUUUGCCCCCACACCCAAAGCCUUCUUGUUGAGACGGUUCCAUCAUUUUCACGAGGUUCUGCAAUAGCUGCGGUACAAUGUGCUCCACAAGACACAGAUUUCACAAACUCUGUCUGUAAUUGCUUCACUUUCUUCGGAUUUUUUCUUCGCUCCUCCGUUCCAUCUCCCAAUUGGCCGAAGUCAUUAGCUCCUGGUCAAUUGCUUACACAUCCAGGUUAUCCAAAGUGCACAUAAACCAAAUAUAAUACAUAUUUACUCUAUCAGCUACCGCAAACAAAUGGCUAGUCCCCAUCUUUGUAACCAACCAUUUUCCAAACCAAAAGAUGGCGAUUUAAGACAGGAAAUCGUCCCUUCCCACAAAGGAAAUGAUUGAACUCAUAAAUGGAAAGAUCGUUAUCACAAAAAACCAUACCAAACAAUUCAAAAAUGGAAAUUUUAAAAAAAAAUUAAGACAAUAAAACAAAAAGAUGAAAGCUUAAUUACCCCAAGUGAAAAGCGACCCAUCGGAGGCAACAGCGGCGGUGUGCUCGCGGCCGCAAGCAAUGUCCAGCCACCGCGAAUUAGCCCCAGCCGUGCAUCCAAAAAGCUCCGGCGAGAGCUGUUUCGGAAUCCUCAACUGCCCCUCCUUCCCGUUCCGACCCGUCUGCCCGGACUGGUUGUAACCCCACACGUAAAUCGCACUCUUCGUCGGAAUACUCACCGGCCGGUUGCGACCCAGAAGAUCAUCAAUUUCCAUUUCCAUGAAUGCCCUUCACAAAUUGAACCACAAAGUUACAACUUACAAGCCAACGAAUUUAACAAAAAGUUAACAAAUUUUAAUCCAAUUGAAGGAGAAAGUGGAGAAUUGGGAUUUUCUCGGCAUCCAAACACAGAGAGAGAGAGAGAGAGAGAGAGAUACCUAGAAGAGUCAAAGUGGGAAGAGGAAGAAAGAAGGGAGAAACUGAAAAAUGGUUGCCGUUAGUCGUUGGAGAAAUGUAAAGAGGUAAAUAUAUUGUGUUCCGAGAACUCCGGAGGCGGAGUCGGGUCGGGUCGAGUGGCUGAGGCCCUCAUGCGUGUCACACGCACGCAGCGGCCUUCUAAAUCAAUGAAAAUUUCAAACCCCCCCCCCCCUCCUCCUUUUCCACCAAAAAUUUAUGUAUCAACAAUUAGUAAUUUUUGAAAUUUCACUCUAAAGUUUCGUCCCUUUUUGUCAUGUGUCGUUUAUUUGAAAAAAACAACUUAGACGACUAUCUUCAAUGGAAAUGUCAAAAUUAUUAUAAUCAGAUUAUAAUGGAUGGUUGAUAUGGUAAUAAAAAAUAAAUUUGACGCUAUUGUCAAAUUUGACAUCUAAUCACAAAGGUUUCAAAUUCAGUCAGUAAACAACACUUCGGUUAGAAAAGUUUUUGAUGUCAAAUACGUACGUGGCAUUUCCACCUAGAAUCAUCAUGUAAAGUCUUUUGCCAAUAAAACAAAGACAUUUGAAUAAAAAACUUACACAUUUAUUUUAUGGCCACAAUACUAUGUACUCGUUUCGUAUAAGUUUUUACUGGAAAAGACUUUAGAGGGGGAAAAUAAGUAUUCCUAUUAUGCAUUUUCCCUUCUAAUUUUUUGGUCAAAUGUGCCACUCGAGAAUCGAGAUUAGCUCUCCUUGACUUUUAAGGUGCGUGGCGUGGGUGCGGUUGGUGAAGCCUGAAGAAAAAAGGCGGUGGAAGAAGUUGAAAACGUCGGCAGGGCAUCCAUAAAGCCCCGACGUGCGAGUGCAAUUGCCUUCUCCUUCUCCAAAGACGCAAGCUUUUGAUAAAAUUACAGUCUUUACAGGCAGACAGGUAACGUAAGUACUUCGCAACUUCGAAUGAAGGCAUCAAAUCGUUCUAAUUUAUUAGAUUCAUAUGUUUCGUCAAUCGUUGUAUUUUAAUUUGUAUGGAUGUGUUGGUUGAUGUUAAAACUGUUAAAAAUGAUAUGAAAUCUGAGUUAAUUGGGUGACUUUUGAUGUCAAAAUUGCCGGCGGGAAUUGUUCUUACUGGUUACUGCCGUUAAUUUUGUGUUGUUUGUGUUUGAUUUCGUGCAGAAAUAGAAACAUGGCUGGUGUGUCGGCUGGGAAGAAGCUCAUUCAAAUUGACAUCGUGUCGGAUACGGUGUGCCCGUGGUGCUUUGUGGGCAAGAGAAAUCUUGAAAAAGCUUUUGAGGCAUCUCGUGAUCGAUUCGACUUUGAGGUUCUCUGUUUUUCCUUGUGUUGUUUGUUGUUGUUGUUGAUGUUGAUGCUGUUGUUUUUUUUCCUUCACCAUGUUGAUGUUGUUGUUGUUGUUGCUUUUGUUUAAAAGCUGUUUUUGACAACCAGAAGCUCUUCUAACCACGUUUGGUAGGAAAACAUAAAAGUAUUUCUAGGUCGUAGGAGCGCUUUCUAGCAGACGCACUUGAUAUUUUUGAUAAAAAUUUUAGCGUGUUUGUGUUUCUAGUAAAACCACUUAUAGUGAAAGCGCUUAUGAGCAUAAGCGCAUCCUGCAAAAGAAGUACCAAACGGACCCAAGUUGUUGGCUUUGUGCUGUGCCAUGAUUCCAUCCUAAAUUGUUGUCACUGUAUAUGAACUUUUCAGGUUAGAUGGCAUCCAUUCCAACUUAAUCCCAAUGCGCCUAAAGAAGGCGUUGAUAAGAGAAGUUAUUAUGAGGAAAAAUUUGGGACUAAUAGGUCGAAACAAAUGGAGGCUCGGAUGGCAGAGGUAUCGCUGCAAUUCUAUUCUAUGAAUCACCUGUACAUACAGAACACUGAAAUACAUGUUUAGUCAAUCCAGUCACUCACUGUCCCCUUUGACAAUUGCAGAUUUUCCGAAGCCACGGCCUGGAAUAUAACCUGUCCGGGCUCACGUAAGUGUAAAGGAUACUUCUUUUUUGUCCUUUUCCAUUGUUUCGCUGAUUCCAAAUUCGUAAUGGAGGGAAAGCCCGGAAAAGCUUUUGUUAGAACUUGGAUUGCAGUUUAGGUAUUAUGUUAUUAACAUCGUGUCGAAAUUGUACAGUGGAAGUACUCUAGAUAGCCACAGGCUUAUCUAUUUUGCUGGGCUUCAAGGGCAUGAUAAGCAACACGCUCUUGUGGCUGAACUAUUUCUUGGAUACUUCACACAGGCAAAAUACAUCGGGGACAGGUAAUUGAGCAAAGUUUCGGACCAGUUUUUCAUGACUUCACAUCUGUAUGCCUUAAGGGUUGUAUUUAGUGAUUUCUUCUCUUGUAUACUUUGUGAUACGCGUUAAAUGUUGUGAACCCCUUUCAUUCUAAGAUGAACAAGAUAAGCAGUUUUUAUGGGAGAACAAACGAUGUAGAAGUAAAUGCUUUUACAUCCUUAAAUCUGAAUUUAAGAGGCACAAUUCAAAUAUUUGCAAUUUGGAUACAGGGAAUUUCUUCUGGAAAGUGCUCAAAAGGUUGGAGUAGAAGGGGCAGCAGAGUUUCUUGAAGACCCCAACAAUGGGCUCAAUGAGGUUUGUCUACUGAUUCCUUCGUGUUGGUAUUAUUUGCCAAGUUAACAAAUGAGAACAGAAUGUAGAUUCGAAGAUCGACUGAUUCAACUUACAAGAUUCUGUAUUUAUGUACCUGGAGAGUAAAUCUGACUAGAAUUAGAAACAACCUUCUGUAUUUUCGAUAUAUCUGAUGUUGCUCGUUAUGAUAAAAUGAAGGUCAAUGAAGAGCUCGAGAAGUACACAAGAAACAUCAAUGGAGUCCCACAUUUUUGGUGAGUGAUGAAAACUCACAUAUAUGAAUAUGGAACUCUUGUUGGAUUAGCUUAAUAGAUGCUAUACUUAUGAAUCCUUUGGUUCUUUCGACAGUUUAACAAUGGAAAGCUUGCGUUAAGUGGCGGUCAACCGCCCGAGGUGUUCUUGAGAGCUUUUGAAGCAGCCACAAAGUGAUGGAACCUUACAUAUACGAGCUUUCGCUCUCCAUCUCCAAUAAGAAUCCAACCUUGGAAAUAUAUUUUCAAUACAUAUGAGUAAUUUUCAUCAUGUUUGAGUGUGAAUCGUGAACCUUAUUUUUCACAUGAUGUAAUAAUGCCAAUGGUGGCAAUGGUUUGUUUAUAUAUGUCUAUCCAUGUGACACCCGGUUUUCUCUUAUUCCUUUAUUUUGUUCUUGGUUACAGAUCGCGGUGUUUUCACGAAUCAUGUCGCUAGUAAGAUUAAAAUGCUUGAAUUUUGACAAUUUUUUUUGUUAGAAAAAUUACAACAACUGCAAGUCUGCAACGCCCACAUCUAUAUCAAUAGACAAACUUUGAAAGUCGUUUGAAAAACAUUAUUUGGGCCUUUUUUUCUUCAUACAGAUGAUAUCAAGGAAGAGGAAUCGAAACAAAUACUCGGCCAAAAGAUUACAUGUUUUAAACGCUUGAGCUACAAGUCGCUUGUGGAGUUAUAUUUCCAUUUCAUCAGAUGAGAACUACUAAUCAUGCCAAAAUAUACUAGCUAGGUCAAAAUUUUGUUUACAUGAAAACUCAAACUUAAAAAGGCAUGUGAGCUACGUGGUAGGUUGUAAAACUCUCAAACGUGCGAAAGUCCACAAGGUUGUCCGAAACCCACUACGCCACGUGGCAGUUUUCAUGAACAACUUUGAAACAAAAACAUCAUCAAAUCCCCGUACCCUUUGAUUCAUUUGUUUCAUCCAUCUUUUGCAUGCACGUUUCAAUCAAUAUUAAACAUGGCUAGAAGGAAAAAGCCUGUUGAAAUUGAUGUAGUUGCAGACACUCUGUGUCCGUGGUGCUUUGUGGCUAAAAGAAAUCUGGACAAAGCUCUGGACCUCUGGUGGCAGGUAACGAUCGAUACGAGUUCGAGCUCCGGUGGCGUCGGUAUCAACUCGAUCGCGAUGCGCCUUAAAUAGGCACUCACAAGAGUAUUAUGCGAAAAAGCUCGGCAAAGAUGUGUCCGAAGUGUUCAAGUCACGUCUCAAAUGUAAGAAGUCAAGCACCGAGAAAUCUCAAUGCAUAAAUAUAUAAAAAGAGGGAGGAGGGAACCCUAGUUUAUUUGAAGUACACCCUCAAGGGGCACCCUAUAAAUUGUAUUUCAGUGAUCUGAAUCGUCUAAAACAAGUGCAGAGGAAAUACUUUAGACAGUCACAAGCUUAUAUGUUUUGGUGGGCAACAAGAUCAUGAUAAGCAACAUGAUCUUGUCGAUGAGAUUUGUCUUGGAUACUUCACAGAGGGGGAACACAUUGGGGAGAGGUAGAAACUUAGUUUUGAGAUCCUUUUAUUUUUAUUUUUUAUGACUUAGGAGGUAAAAGGUAUUUGCAAUUUGAUUGCAAGGAUUUUUUUCUGCAAUGUGCUCAACGAGGUCUGUUCUUCGAGAUAUUUUGUCAUACGACCAGAGAUAUAUCAUUUCCUUCCUAUGUCUCUCGUCACAAAACCAUUGCGUCAUGAGAGAGAAAUAGAUGAAUGUUUUGUCGUGGGUGAUGAAAACUUCACAUCCCGUAAAAAUGUAUAACUCGUUUGAUAACCAUUUCGGUAAUUUUUUGGGGCAGAUUAUUGGAAAGGAAGAGUUGAGUGGUGCUCCGCCAACUAAGGUCUUUCUGGCUGCUUUCGAAUCAGCCACAAAAUGAUACAACUUCACAUCUCGAAGCAUUCACUAUGUAGCUCCAACAAGAAUACGCAACCUUGGAAACAUGUUUUAAAUGCUGAUCAAUUUUCUUUUGUUCAACAAUUUUGUAUGUUGUAUUAGUGGUGUUAAUGACAAUUGCUAAUCAAGCGAAAUCACAUGUGAAUGUGCGAUCUUGAUUUACAGUCUAAUAACAUGUCAAAUAUUUCUGCAUAUAACUAUCCCAAUAUGUAUCCUUAUUUAUCCCGCUUUUAAUUUUAUCCGAUAUGAAAACAUUCAUCUGCAUUAAGUAUUUUGGAGCGCUAGUAACAAUUCCCGAUAUAUAAUUAGGCUAAUGUUGUUCGGUCUUUCUAAUCUGAUGUGAGAUUUAAGAGAUGCCAUUAAGGGAGAAAGAAGUGAAAAGUUAAAUCAUAAUUUAACCUUCUACUCCACAGAAGACAAUUACUGCUCAAUGACCACAGUAAAGCAAGAACUCAUAUGGAAUGAAUAUUUACUCACAAGUUCUCAGAAAUCAAGUUUAUAUGUACCAUCAAUUGACACUUUUCGACAUGUGGUAUUCACAAUGAAAAUCACUUCCUUGGUGUUCUCUCUCUUCCGAAGUUGUUGGAUUCAUCAACGACGCAAACCUUUUCGAUCGCGAUUAAGUCGUUUCAUCGAAUACCAUCACCUACAAAGCGAAACAUAUAAAUCCACGGUCAAAAUACAGGUUGCAGGAGAAAAGCAACUUGCUUUAUAACUAUUUGUCAUAUCAGAUGAAAAGCUUAGAGAAAUAACUUUAGGAUUGACUUCUAAUUUUUUAAUUGACCAUAUGAAUAUGCAGCAUAUAAUCGACAGUACAAAACCAAAUUGCUUGAUCGAGCAGCUCGAGUCCAUGUGUGUUGGUGAGGGAGAAGGAUAUUCGAGUACUUCAGGACCAAAAAUAAAUAGUUAAAACAUGCAUAGCAAUAUAUCGGCGAUGGUGGAAUUUUCCUAUAACAUAUGUAACACAAAUACUUGACUGGAGUUGAAAACUAAAAGCCGUCGCUACCUACAGAUUAUCAUCAUUAUGAAAGAAAAUGUUACCUUGCCACAAACAGGACAGCUUUCACUUCUCUCCAUCCAUUCAUAUAUACAACCAAGGUGAAAAUGAUGAGAGCAUUUUGUUAUUAUUUUUGGGUUUUCGUGUGUGUAUUCUGCAUAAAUGGCAACAGAAAAAACAUGAGAAUUUAGAUAUCAGAAGUUAUAUACCAUAAGGGUACACUUUCCAGAAUCAUAAACCAAUCAACAUUGCAACAAAUAUUGCAAAUCCACUUAAGUGUGUUUAAGUCUCUUUCCAAUCUUCGUGCCAAAUUAUUGGAGCGCAAUUUCUAGGGGAGCAGAGCAAAGGCAACAUGAAAAUGUACCAUUUACGUAUGUAAUUGAGUUGAUUCAAUUUGGUAAGCAAACACGUGCAAUUAACAGAGUCCAAAUAGGACCGUCAUCAUUCAUGUUUGUGUACUUUCAAGUGGAAAUGACCAUCAGAUCCACAAAAAAGUCAACAUGAAGAAACUCUGCUACUACAGAUUGAGGAAGAAGGACAAACACCGGUCAAAGAAAAAUUACCUUCAAGACAUGUUGGACAAACAUCCUCGUCCUCUGAUGAUGAAUAGAAGUUCCCAAUUCCAGUUGUAGCUUUGGCCGAUGAGAAUUUCAUUGAGGACUUGGAACGAUGUUCUUUUGACCCAUCUUCACAAGUAGAGCCAUUCCAUUUUUCUCCUGUACUCAAACUUUCAGAAUCUGCAUCGGUAUCACUUCUUAGAGGUUCAGCCUCCUCAUGAGAGUGACUUGAGCCCUUCUCCCGCCUAGAAAUCAACCCAUCGCGCUGCAAGCGAAUGUAUCUGGGGUCAGCAUCAUAAGGCAAGGGCCUUGGAGGCGAACGAUACAUGUCAGAUAAGGAGUUGUCAAGUGAUGCUGAGGAAUUCAUUGAUGCAGCCCCCUGAAUGGAUGAGGGGAUCGAAUGCACUUCCCCUCUUCUGAAUAGUGAUGUAUACUGCAAAAUAUGGGAAGAUAACAGGUUAUACUUCCAUCUUGAAGAAAGUUUUUAUCAUCAAUAUAAAUAUCUUAAUAAUCAUCCAUUUUAGUUUUUAUAAGCUUCAAAACUUCUAACAGUGAGCAACUGCCUAAUUGAAAAUCAAAAGUAAAUUAGAAAAACGGUUUUUCGUUUGCUCCAGCAAAAUAUUCACAGGGUUGCCAAUGCAAUAGCAGAUAAGUGAGGGCACAAAAGCAGCACUGUCUCCAGCAUAAUUACAGAUAAACAAAAAUACUAAUGUUGAAUGUAUUAUGCAUUCUAAACAUAUGGAACUUGGAAAACACAUAAGGACAAAAAAGAAGAAGAAUUAGUUCAGUAAUGAGGAUGACAAAGGCAUACCACAUUUAGAAAGUUCUGAAGAAAGCAAUUAAGACAGGCACAGUCCCUAUAUGCAGAACUGUUCGGAUUCACAUAAUCUUCAAAAUCCUCAGAAUUCAAACAACAACAUACAGAACCCAUUGUGCCAGCUUCAAAAUAAGUCUCCGCAACAAUUCCACACUCUCAUCAACCGAAACCAAUCAAGUUCCACUUGUGCAUUAAUCAAUAGAACGCUAGGAGCAAUAACUGUACUUUGACAAGUACAAGAGAGGACACAAAGCUCGCAGAAGUCCCACUGCCUCUGCGGACUGGUACCCUCCCUCUUCUAUUUAACAAUGUCGGAUGCCUUUUCUGGUUUUGGUUUAACUUACGGUUAUAUUCUUCACCUGCGAAAUAGAAUACAAUAAUGUUCAAGUUUUGAACAACAAUAUCGACAAGAGAAAACGCUACAACUGAAGAGAGCUAUCUAAACAAAUUCACUAGCCAAAUUAACUAAAGCGCAAAACAUAAGCAAUCCAUGUUGAUCAGUUUAGUGGUACAAGUUCAUACAUUUAAAGUAAAUCAAUUAAGUCACCGUCAUGUUUCCUGCGAAAGAUCGUAGCACCUAACCAAAUGCAGCUAUAUAAUCCCAUGACUUGAAAAAUAAGGAAACAUAGAAAAUUUCAGAAGGUACUUAAGAUUAUAAAGUCACACCAAAGAGAUAUUUUUAGAUACAAAUCCCCCACAUCUAUUAAGAAAGCAACCAUCUUUUUUGUUCCUCACCCUUUCUCUAGUAUGGUGAGGAAGAAAGGCAUAUCAACCAACAGAAAAAUUCACAGAAAAGUGAAGGUCAAGUCAGUUAAUCCAAAACAUUUUAAAAACUAAAACACCAUAAUUUGGGUAAGGAAAAUACGCAGCUAUCCUAAUUUUUCAAAAAUAAAAGGAUUAAUAGGAAGAUCAACCUGGAAAACACAUAAACCAAUGUAAUUAGACAGACCCUUUUGCAAAAAUCAAAUCUUGGAACAUCCAAAAGGUUCAAAAACAAAACCCAAUUGCAAAAUUCAAAUUUGCAGCAAUCAGAAUGUUCAUGGAAUAAAACCCAUCACCAGAAAAAAAAGAAGCAAAUAAAUAAAAAAUAAAACUCCUUUUGCAGAUACAAUUCAAUCCUGAAGCAAUCAGAAGAUUCAAAAACACUGCAGAAAGCAAAUAAAUUUCAGAAACAAAAUUACAGAUACAUAGAUUUUCAAAUUAAAAAGUACCUGAGAGAGGUGGGAAGGAAGUGGAAGGAGAGAGAUGGAAAUUGAUCUUGGUGGGUGGACAGAGACAGGUGCACCAAGGAAUCGGAAAAUUCAGUAGAAUUAGGAAUUGGAUGAUUGGAUAAAUAAGAAAAUUCGAAAACCGGGUGCUAAAUUUGGGUGAGUGGGUUAAGAAAUUGGGUUUUCGAAUUUGUCAAAAUUGUGUUGGAUUUGUACUUGGAUUUUGGAUUUUCUGGUGAUGGGAGCUAUGAAUGCGCGGAAUUUUAAAGUCACCUCCUUUAAUCUUUCCUCUUUUAACUUUAAUGAUGAUGUCCCCUUCCUAAACUAAAUAUAAAAUAAAUGGUUAAAAAUAUACGUAUUGAUAGAACCUUAAUUACCAACGUCACUAUCCACAUUCAUUUUUAUUUCUUCUAUAUUUUUAUUAAGGGUAAAUUACAUAGUAACCUUUCAGGUUUGAGAUCUAUUGCAAUAUUAUAUAAUAUUUUUAAAACUUUUCACUUUCAUACCUCAAAUACUAUUUAUUUCAAUUUCAUACUACCGUUACAUUUUCCAUCCAUGGAUCUGUUAAAUGCUGACGUAGCUGCCACAUAUAUGUCAUGUGGCUGCCGAAUGUCUGCCACGUGGCAAAUAAAAUAAAUUUUUUUUUUUUUUUUAAACCUGAAAUUGGAAGAAGAAGAAGAAAAAAAAAAAAGGGACCGAACCCCUACAACCCAGAAGAAGGAGGAGGAAGAAGAAGAAGAGAAGAAGAAAGAGGAUGAGGAGGAAGAAGAAGAAGAAAAAAAAAAGGACCGAACCCCCUGCAACCCAGAAGAAGAAGGAGGAAGAAGAAGAAGAGAAGAAGAAAGAGGAGGAGGAGGAAGAAGAAGAAGAAGAAAAAAAAAAAGGAUCGAACCCCCUGCAACCCAGAAGAAGAAGGAGGAAGAAGAAGAAGAAGAAGAAAAAAAAAAAAAAGGGACCGAACCCAAAAGAAGAAGGAGGAAGAAGAAGAAGAGAAAAAGAAAGAGGAGGAGGAGGAGGAAGAAGAAGAAGAAAAAAAAGAAAAAAAGAUAUGUGGCAGACAAGUUUUUAAAAAAAAUUAAAAAAUUAAUUUAUUUGCCACGUGACAGACAUUUGGCAGCCACGUGAUAUAUAUGUGGCAGCCACGUCAGCAUUUAACAGAUUCAUGGAUGGAAAAUGUAACGGUUGUAUGAAAUUGAAAUAAAAUAGUACUUGAGGUAUGAAAGUGAAAUGUUUUAAAGAUGUUGUAUAAGAUUGCAAUAGACCUCAAACCUGAGGGGCUACUAUGUAAUUUACCCUUUUAUUAAUUUUCAGCUAUUAAAUCAAAUAACAUAAAAAAUAUCAAUUGUUGUGACAAAGUAGCAUGAGCGUAUAAAAAGUAAAAUUGAGUGUGUGAAUACUGAAUAGCAUUAUCCUUGCUUAUUUAUCUUUUUUAUUUUUUUUAUUUACCAAUGGCAUGUUUACUUAUCAUUUACAAAAAAAGUUGACAAGGUAAGAACAUAGGGUUUGUCUAGGUAAGGAGCACCAAAUUACAAGGUCUUUAGAUCAAAUUAAGAAAAAUUGAUCACAAAAGGUUAGAUAAGAGAAUUUGGAACAAAAUUAAUCACUGAAAUAGGAAAAAUUUGAUAGAGAUUUGCAAGUGAUUUAUUUCAAGUAGUCAUUUGCAGAUCCGUAUAUCUUACAUUUUGUAAUGUUCAGUGACCAUUUAUAAUCUUUCCUAUCAAACUUUUUGUGGUUUAUUUCUUCGUCACUAUAUAUAAGUCCCUAAGAAUUUGAAAAUUCUUCACCCAAAACAUACCAAGGGAACUUAAAAACGAUGAAGUACAAAAUGAAAAUUGGACUAACCACUUCCUUUGUUGUUCAAUUCUUGUUUUUUGAAGGCAUUUGAUUAAGACUUGCUUUUUUUUUUUCUUUCUUAUAUGCUAGUAAACGUGAGAAGUUAAGAGUUAGAAUCAUUCUUUUCUCUCUCAUACUCAUUCUUUAUAAGUAAAUGAUUGAAAUUAUUCUGAUUCCUAAUUUCUCACACAUGAGACAUAUGAAAUCUCAAAAUACGUAUUUCUCACACUACCAUUUGCAACCUAAUACCUGAAAAAUUAGGAAAUAGGUUUGAACAUAAAAAAUAGUUGAUCUCAUUCUCACACUAUAUUCGUUAUUUUUUAUUUUCUAAUUCACGAAUUUUCCAUUCCAAAUAAGAAACAUGCACCUUGUUGAUGCACAAAAUCGGAGGUUUUGGAAAAACGUAAAUCCGACCGUGAAUCUGCAAGAAAGUAAAUAACACAAGAUGUAUCGUGGUUCACCACAAGGUUUGGGCUAUGUCCACAUUGAUUAUUGUAUUUAUCUGAGAGGUGAGGGAAAUAACCUCUAAAUAUGAGAGGGGAUGUGAGAGAGGUGAGAAGGCUUAAGUAAUGGCCUCCCCUAAUUGCGAGUACGAGGAGUUCAGGACUCACAUUUGCUCCGUCAACCUCCCCGCUAGGCUCUUCAUCGCGUCAUCGGUGUCGACCUCCGGCCUCAUCUUGAUUGUCGCUGUCUCGGUCAGCAUAUGGGGAAGAGCCAUUGCUCGUGAGGAUUUAGAGAUAGAGGGAGUCCCAGAGAGUUUUAGAGAGAGAACCCAAUGAGAGUACGAUGUAGUUCCCCCAUCAAUUUCGUUUGUCUGUGAAGUUGAUGUAGAACGAAAUCAAGGACUAGCAAGAACCCGAUAAGAGUAAAGUCGAGGAGCAAGCUGCAGUAGAUGACGCACUCGAAAGGUGUCUGGAUCAUUAUGAUGUAGUGCACGAAGAAUAGAAACUGGAGUAUGCCCUUCACGAAGUUCAGGGCGAACAUGCUAGUAAGCGUUUAAAAGCUCCAUGGAUGAUCUCCCCAGAAAGCGUCAGCUGAGAGAGAACCCUUAGGAUCGAUAGGUUUCUCAUUGUAAAGCUUUUUUCAGUGUUUGAGAUUUGGAUUUUUUUUUUGUUUCUAGGUUUUUGUGAUUUUGCAGAUUCACGGUGGAGGUGAAAAAAAUGAAAAAGAACCGACAUAGUUUUUGUGUCGAUUCCCACAGACGGUGUCAAAUGUUGAUGCACAAAACCGGAGGUCUUGGAACAACGUAAACCAGACCGUGAAUCUACAAGAAAGUAAAUAACACAAGAUGUAUCGUGGUUCACCCCAAGGUUUGGGCUACGUCUACACUGAUUAUUGUAUUUAUCUUCGAGGUGAGGGAAAGAACCUCUGAAUAUGAGAGGGGAUGUGAGAGGGGUGAGAAGGCUUAAGCAAUGACCUUCCCUAAUUGUGAGGGUGAUGAGUUCUUUUAUAGAAUAAGGGCUCCUCACUUAUUACAUAUUUACCCCUUUCUUCAUUACAUAAUUAUAUUUAAGUCCUCCAAGUAUUUUUACGAGAUUUAAAUACGGAUACCCUAAAUAUAAUAUAAACACGCUUGCACUCGAGGUAUUGAGUUCGACCUUCUGUUUUCAUUAUCAUAUGAAAAAUAUAAUAAAGAGAUUAGCAAUUUGCUCCUCAUCAAAGUGUCGGCACUCUAUGCCAUUCUUCCUACAAUUAGUAUCUUAGUAUUAUAUCAUAUUUAUCUUGACAAACACCACUCACCAAAUUCAAAUUUUUUAUUAUUUUUUGGGGUUAGUAGUAAGGAGCUUUUGGUUGAGAAUUCCUCACUCACGCAUUUGAGAAUUCCGUGCAUACUCAUAUUUAUCUCUUGUCACUUAAUUGCAGUGAUUUUCAAACUUUUGUUUGUUUUCCAGUUUAGUAGUAAGAAAUUUUUUGUUGAGAAUAUUUACUUUUGCCGUUGAGGUUUUAAGUUUAAGUUCCCUCUUCUAUAAAAUAAAGAAAUUAAUUAUUUUGAGAGAUAAAAAUUUCACAUUCAAUGAUUAAAAUGCAUAGUUUUUCUUCGAUAAGAUGUAUUACAUUGCGUUAAGUGGUAUAGAAAAUGAAUAGCUAAUAUUAAAAACAAAAUAAAUAAAUAAUUGUGGAAAUUAAAUUUAACGCUAAAACACCAAUAACGCAGUCCAAAACAAAAACAAAAAGUGUGUAUUUAAAAGGAUGAUGCUAUUCACAUACAUUUUUUUUUCUAAACACUUCUCUCAAUUUUCAACUAUCAAAUCAAAUAACUUGAAAAUAUAAAAAAACGAAUUAAAUAAAUUAAAAAAUAGCAAAAGUUAACAGAAAAUGUAUGAAAAGUAAGAAAUAUCGUUGAAAGUCAAAAUCACACAUCACCAUAUGUCGUGUGAAGCAUUAAAUUGAAUAAUUAAAUUAAAAAGGUUAAAAAAUUGGGAGGGCCACCAAACGCCUUGUCGUAAAUUUUAAUUUGAAUCAAACAACAUUUACACUACUCGUUUCGGUUGUUUAAAUACAUCAAAUUGCCGUUGAACCGAUAGCUCUUCGCCGGCGACGUCUCAGAUCUACUUCUCCCUCUCCAACAUUUUCCCCCAAAUUCCAAACCCUAAUUCUCAAAAACCAUCGCGGAGACCUCCAUUGCCCUCAAGCCGCUCCGUUUCGCACUCUCCCGACGCUCAUAGCGGUGUCAGUGUGAGGCGUUUGAAGUGAUUUAGCUCCAAUUUCAGUUCACCACUGCACGAAUUAGGGUUUUGAAUGUUCGCUGCAGAUGGUGAUUUAGUUCUCGAAACGUUUGUUCUUUGUGGAGACGUGAGAGUCUAGGUUUUGUACGGAAGGAUGCAGGGAUCGGCGCAGAGCUCUGCGGCUCAGCCGGAGGCGAUAUUGAAAUGGCUUCAGAAGGAAAUGGGGUACCGGCCUUUGGGUCCGUACAAUGCUGCUUCUAGCAAAUCGCAGUUGCCCUCAAUCGACUCGCUGAGGAAGAUUUGCCGUGGGAAUAUGAUACCCAUUUGGAAUUUCUUGAUUACCCGCGUGAAGUCUGAGAAUACGGUGAAGAAUAUUCGGAGGAAUAUAACGGUUCAUGGUGGUGGCGGCGGUGGAGGGGACGGUGGCGCAUUGGCAAAGGUGGGGAAGGAGGAGGGCACGAGGAGUAAAGGGGGUAGGAGAAAGGAGAAACUUGGGGAGGCUGCGAGUGCGGCAGAGACCAGGGAGGCCGCGCUGCAAGAGAGGGACUUGGCGGUAAAGGAGGUGGAGAAAUUGAGGAACAUUGUGAAGAGACAGAGGAAGGAUUUGAAGGCCAGAAUGUUGGAGGUUUCGAGGGCUGAGGCUGAACGGAAGAGGAUGCUUGAUGAACGCUCUAAAAAAAGGUUUGAGCUUUUUUUAAAGAUUUGCAUGCUCCAGUACAUGAUUUGGUUGGGUUGAAAACUUGUUUUGUAACGUUAAAUUUAUCAUGGUAUUUCAUUAUCAUCAUAUUUAAGAAUGAAAUGAGCUAUGUAGAUUAUUUAGAGGGGAAACACGAUGCUAUUCCUCUUUGCAAGGUUUAUUUGAGAAUAGUCUUAUUAUUUGAAAAUUUGUGUUUAGUUCAUUGAUCCACACAACAAAAAAAUAACCCCUUUUUUGGAAGGCUGUGUAAAUUCAAAUGAUAUUCACAGCCACAGGAUAGUAUUUCAAGUUAUUCGAUGCAGAUUGCGGGCUAUGUUGAUAUAUCCUUGAUCUUGAUGCAGGCAUAAGCAAGUAAUGUUGGAGGCUUACUAUCAACAGUGUGAUGAAGCGGAAAAGAUAUUUGCGGAGUAUCAUAAACGUCUUCGUUAUUAUGUUAAUCAAGCAAGGGAUGCUCAAAGGUCAGGUGUUGAUUCAUCUUUUGAAUUGGUUAACAGCUUUGGUCCAAACAGUGAAAAGGAAGCUGUUUAUUCAACUCUUAAGGGCAGUAAAGCAGCAGAUGAUGUGCUUCUUAUCGAAACCACUCGGGAAAGAAACAUCCGAAAGGCCUGUGAAUCUCUUGCAGCACAUAUGAUUGAAAAAAUUCGCAGUUCUUUUCCCGCAUAUGAAGGAAGUGGUAUUCAUUUGAAUCCUCAGUUAGAAGCAGCCAAGUUAGGUUUUGAUUUUGAUGGGGAAUUACCUGUUGAGGUUAGAGCUGCAAUAGUGAAUGGGUUGAAGAAUCCUCCUCAAUUGCUUCAGGCAAUUACUUCAUACACGUCACGGUUGAAAUCUCUCAUUUCCAGAGAGAUAGAGAAAAUUGAUGUUAGAGCUGAUGCAGAAACUUUAAGGUAAACACUUCCUUGUCAGUCCUGUUGGAAAUGAGGAGUUUAUUUACUUUUCUCUUUGCCUUAGCUUCUACAGACAAGGCUGUUCAACUACAAUAUACCUUCUUUGUAUUUUUUUAAUAGUCACUGAGCCAAAGAUUGGUGAUAAUAUGGUCUCCCCGUCCUCCCCCCUCUUUUUGUUAAUACUUGCAGUGAUAGGUCCAUUAUUUGUCAUAUUUUUAUGACAUUUAUCCUUAGUCUUUGCAAGGAUAUUCAAUUAAAAGAAGUUUUCUUUAAUCUAUUCUUUCAAAUCAAUCAACUUUUGUUCUUAAAUUAAGUGUGGCGUAAUUAACUGGUAAAUUGGUUUUAAAGUAGUCCUUGUGGACACAGUCGCAUGCUUGCAUAACUAUACUAUUAUUGAUUUGCGUGCUUGUGAGUAACUUAAUUUGGGUCUUUUGAAUCUCUAUUUUUAGGUGUUUAAAAGUCUACAACAUCCAGCUGCUUGAUUUAAAUAAUAAUUGUGUACCUUUUUCAAAUUUGAUCAUUUCUGUGUCUGAAUUCUCAUUUCUUCUCCAUAUUCUUGGCUAAUGUCUCAUAAAUUCCUUAAUCAGGUACAAGUAUGAGAACAACCGAGUUAUCGAUGUUUCUUCUCCUGAUGUGAGUUCACCAUUACACUAUCAACUUUAUGGUAAUGGAAAGAUAGGAGUUGAUGCACCUUCUAGAGGAACUCAACUUCUUGAAAGACAGGUUAUAUUCUUUUACUAGAUGGUAGCCUUUACAUUAAUAUUUAAUUAUAUUUUCUUCUUUUCACUUGUAUCAUCCAUCUUAACAUUCUUAUUUCCACAACAUGGAUACAUUGCUCCUACUCUUGCUUUAAAUGGUUUCCCCCUACAAAGAAUAGUUGGCCUAAUCCCUAAUUUCAUAAACAACCAUAUUGUUUAAACAAAAGAAUUGUUUGGUUCUAUUUUACCCUUACAUUUCUGCUUUUGUUUUGUUUUCUGAAUUGUGCAUUGUUUCAAGAGUUUAACUUGAUAUUUGGAAUAUAUUGUUCACAGAAAGCACAUGUUCAACAAUUUUUGGCUACUGAAGAUGCACUGAACAAAGCUGCAGAAGCUAGGGAUCUGUGUCAAAAACUUAUAAAACGCUUGCAUGGCGAUAGUGAUGUAAUUUCUUCAGGAACAUCACAAAAUGUGGGCAGUCUUAGGCAACUUGAGGUAAAUCUUCCUUGCAUAUUAAAUGUAUUAAUUACCGAUAGUUUGUGUGGAAAUAGCACCAUGGGUGACAGGUUUGAAUAGCUUCAGUCUUUUGAUCCUUUUGAUAGUUGUAUACUCUAUACCAGCUUACUUUUAGUCUGCACUUUGUUAUCAUCUGUGUUUUUACAGUCUUCCCUUUUCUUUGUGUAGCUGGAGGUUUGGACCAAAGAAAGAGAAGUUGCUGGCUUGAGGGCUAGCUUGAAUACGCUGAUGUCUGAAAUACAACGCUUAAAUAAAUUAUGCGCGGAAAGGAAAGAAGCUGAAGAUUCUUUGAAAAAGAAGUGGAAGAAGAUUGAAGAAUUUGACUCCCGCAGAUCAGAACUUGAAAUCAUAUAUACUUCAUUACUAAAAGUUAACAUGGUAAGUAUCUCAGCUUUGUUAGUGCCAAUUUGCUAGCCACUUCAUAUAUCACCAAUUGCAUAGUUUUCAUAUGUUAUUCGUAUCAUAUGGUAGAAUAUUUCAAUAGAGGCAGCUAGGAUAAUACUUCUCUAUCUCUUUUUGUUCUCAAUCAGGAAUAUAUUCUAAUGUUGUUUUUGUCAACUUGGUACUUGGUAGGAUGCCGCUGCGUUCUGGAAUCAGCAGCCAUUAUCCGCGCGGGAGUAUGCAUCAAGCACUAUUAUUCCAGCAUGCACAAUAGUUAUGGAUCUUUCAAAUAGUGCAAAAGAUCUUAUUGAAAGAGAAGUUUCUGCUUUUGACCAAAGUCCUGAUAAUAGCCUCUACAUGCUUCCAGCAACUCCACAGGUUUGUUGUGUAAAUUUGUGGCUUUAUCAUUAUUAAAGAAUUGUUAUACUUCUAAGUAUAACUCUUUAUUUUUAAAUUGGCGAAUGAUUGUUUUAUUGCUGAAUCUGUCUGUUACUUAUAGAAAUGGUAAAAAUCAAUAAAUCUGUUUCAUAUGACCAUUAUCAGAAUUAUUAGGGACUAAUCAUAAUCGGUCUGUAAUCUCUGUAUGAUUUCAAAUUUUAUGACUUCUAUAGUUUGUGUAAUAUUAUGAUUAUCUUGAAAUUUUUCUAUUGUUGUUUGGCUAGUAAAUACAAAUCUAUCUUUUGUUGUCCACCUUCUAUAAUCUGUGUAUGUAACGAUGUAACCACUAAUUACUUUUGUAUCAGGCACUAUUGGAGUCCAUGGGUACAAAUGGGUCUACUGGACCUGAAGCUGUUGCUGCUGCAGAAAAAAAUGCUGCUAUAUUAACUGCAAAAGCAGGUGCUAGGGAUCCAUCAGCAAUACCAUCCAUAUGUCGCAUAUCUGCUGCCCUUCAAUAUCCUGGUGGUGAGUCUUCAUUCGUCUGCUACGACAGUAUAGGAAUGCCUAAGAUUAGAGGCCACUGCAUUCGUUUUAGGCUUGGUUUUGGAAGAAAUACUUCCUCUCCAUUUAUCCAAGGCUUGGCAGCAGAAGGUCUCUUUUGCCUUCUUUUUUGAGUUGAGUGUGUUAUGGUUUCUCAAUCGCACUUACACAGAAAAACAAAAUGCAUCAGCCUUUCAAUAAAUUGGUAAAACUCACUGGACGGUUAGAUUUUAUGCUGGUGAGUAUGGAGGUGCUGUUACAUGACAGCCUGCAAGGAUCUUGUUUUGAAUAAUCUUAAGCCCCAGUAGGCAGGACACUAUGAAUAAGAAAUAAUCUUCAGUUGCUAUUCUUUCCUGAACCUAGGUACGAAGGAGUUUUGUUUGGAACAUGAAAAUAGAACUCUGAUUAAAUGGUGCUCUGUUGAUUCCGUGCUCUCUCAAUAUCUACACAUGUCACUUGUACCUAUAGUAAAAUAAAUAUAAUCAUUUUGGCUUGUGAAUUUGCUCCUUAAGCUUAAGGAUGCCUAGCCUGAGUUUCACAAAUGCUACCAUAUGCAUGUUCUCGUGUGGUAUUUUGUUUUAUCUUAUUGUUUGUGUGUCUGCUUGAUAGGUGCUUUCAGUUCUUUUUAUUUUUUAAUCUCGUAUAAAUACAAACGUACGUUUACCGGGUAAACAGGUUUGGAGGGUUCAGAUGCUGCCUUAGCAUCAAUCCUAGAGUCCCUGGAAUUCUGUUUGAAACUUCGUGGUUCCGAGGCUAGUGUGUUGGAGGACUUGGCAAAGGCAAUCAAUUUGGUUCAUACAAGACAGGAUCUUGUUGAAAGUGGUCAUGUGUUGUUGAACCAUGCCUAUAGAGCUCAACAAGAAUAUGAAAGGUAAAACUUCAUGUUGCCUUGUUUUUACAGGAAUCUAGGUUAUGUAAUCUUCCAAAUCCCAAAGUUUCAGUAAGCAGACCUCGGUCAAAUAAUAUAGACUUGAAUUCCAUUUUGAGGAUUGUGAAAUGAGGAAAAAUACCAGAAACUGCUUCUUUUGAGAUUUACAGGAUUUGCUGCACUAGAUGUUAUGACUUUUUUUCAUCCAGAUUCUAAAUACAUUAUAGAUUGCUAUUUGUUCUAAUCUUUUGCCAAAACUCAGGAUGUAUAAUUCUGAUGCUAUGUUAAGUUCGUUCUACAUAUUAAUAUGUGAUGUUUAUUAAUAUGCAUUGUAGAUCUCUGACUCAAUUUUCAGAUUAACAUGCACUUAAUUCUUGUCAACUACUCUGCAGGACAACGAGUUAUUGCUUAAAUGUGGCUGCUGAGCAAGAGAAAACUGUCAUGGAGAAAUGGUUGCCCGAACUUAAAUCUGCAAUUUUGAGUGCUCAGAAGUGCUUGGAAGAUUGCAACUAUGUUAGGGGGUUGGUGAGUGACCACCGUAAACUGAAUCAUCUGCCAUUACAUUGCCUGUUUACCUGCAUGCAUGUGACCGUGCACACAUCCUACUGGAAUUAAUUUAUCUUCUUUCACGAGUCCCAAAUUUGGGGUAAAUAACGGAAAUGGAGCUUAAGUGGAGUUAGUCUGCAUUUGUGUAGUUGUAUAGAGAGUAUCUUUCUACCAUAUGAGUAUAAGUUUAUUUUGCCCUCUUUAAUUGUCAACCGCAAUAUGUUUUUGCAGCUUGACGAAUGGUGGGAGCAACCAGCAGCAACUGUUGUUGACUGGGUCCUAGUCGAUGGAUUAAAUGUUGCUGCUUGGCAUAAUCAUGUGAAGCAGCUCCUUGCAUUUUAUGAUCAGGAGCACUUGUGAAUAUAAUUUGAGUACUCAGCAAGCAAGAUUUUCUCAGGAUCUUCCUGGUCUUCCCAGAUCAAAUUUGCCACUUCAAUGACCGUACAAAAUACUCACACAACCAACCUGCAUCCCUGCCUGAGGCAAUACGUGUACGGGGUACAGUUAGCAAGUGGAGUCAUAUACUUCGGAUGUCAUAUCACUUCUACAUUUCGAUUUGAGAGAAAAGCGGAGGAGGGUAGCCGGCGGGAGGAACAGGUCCUGAUCUUAGUCGAUUUGAAGUUUGUUAUACCGGCAGACCAGAUUUUUUUGUCUCUUUUUUUUUUCCUGAUUAAGUUUUGUAUAGAAAGACAAGGAUGUGUUGUAUCAUAAACUUUAUAGCUUGGUUUUUCUUUUCUUUUUUUUUGGGGAGAGGAGAGUGAUUUAAAUUGUAGAGGUUAAAUUUGCAGUAUGAAAUUGAAUGUAUGACUUGGUCCUCUAUUGAAUGAAGGGGCAGGCUUCCGCUUGGCAUAAUAUCACUUCAGUCAAAUUGUCUUCCUGUUUCAGAAAUUGACAACUCCAUAUGAUGAAACAUCACAUGUAGAUGUUACAUUAUUGUACGGAUGAAAAUUGCUGCCAUACACUGUAUGUUGGAAUGCCAAAUUCAAUGCGGUCGUUUUUCAAGCACGAAUACAAUGAUCGUGAAAGGGGUGAGCGAGCUAGAGAGAUGGCUGUAUCUCUUUGAUGAAUGUUAUAUCGAGGUUUGGUUUAAAGAAACAUAUUCUAUACUUUCAUCUACUUGAUUACUACUUCGAUGCACUUAAAGCUACGGGUACUGUGUCUAAUAUUUUUCAGGUGAUUUGUUAUCAGCACUCUGAAAUAGCUCGUCAUGCACUUCUCGUCGUUAUUAUGAAUAAUAUUUUUCAGGUGAUUUGUUAUCAACACUGAAAUAGCCCGUCAUGCACUUCUCGUCGUUAUUAUAAAUAGUCCAUGAUAAUUAUAAUAAAAAGUGUUAAUAACAGCUCUCGUUUUUUGUUCGUGGUAGGUCGAAUCAAGCGGUAUAGAAUGAGAAAAUGCCAUGUCAAAGUGUGACAUAUUGGUGAUGGUUCCAAUAAUAAUAGACCACCCAGUGCACGGAUAAGUAAAACAUAAUAAUCAGUCUUAUCUUAUAUGUUUCAAGUUUGACACCAUUUGGAAAUUGGAGACAAUAAUAUAUGAAAAAGUCCUUAAACCUCAGCCCACCUCAUUCCCCCACAAGGCUUAAACUCGCCCGUGAGGAGACCACAUGACAUGUCUUUUGGAACCCGUGAAUGACGGGGAAUGCGACAGAACCAUCGUUUUCUGUAACUUCAACAUGCAUUCUCUUUCGUUACAAUUUCGAACACAACACAUUCAUAGAUAAAUAUUUAUAUUCUAUUAUAUAAAAUGAAAACUUCUAUUUUCAUUCUAUGAAUAUUAAGAAUGAUUGUGUUAUUAUAUUAUUGUUUUUUAUAUCAACUUGAUCAAUUUGUGAAUUGACACGAACACGACUGAAUUGCCACUGAUUUUUCACUGUCUAAAAGAAAAACAUUUUUAUCACAAGAUAGCAGUGGGGACGGAGAGGCUUGUGGUUGUCAUAGAUAUACCUGGGACCUUCAAUAACCGCCUUACAUUGUCAAAAAUUGUAGGACGGACAAAGAACGAAACGGUGAAAGUUUGGGGGUUUGUUAGCAGCUCAAUGCAAAACUCUGCGAGACAAUUUGUCAAUUCCAAUGCAGGGUCCAUUUAACAGUACUAUUGUGGAGUUUGUGCCUGAAAUUCUUGCAUGUCACAACGUAUAUCAUUUACGUUUCGAGUGUGACACGUACAACUGUAGUUAGCACGUAAUGAGUAAUAUAUUUCAAAACGAGGAUAUAUUUCCGGUGACACCGAUGUUUUUCACCAAACUUCCAAGCAGUUAUUGGAAAGUGAGAAUCGUGGAAGUAGCCCUAGGUUUCCUCACAAAGCAGGAAACUGGAUUAAGGACAAAAUAAACAGACUGUGGGAAGGAAAAGAAUGCGUUGAUGCAAGAGGAAUCUGGAUGCAACACCAACACAUGAGUGCACAGAGAAACCCUAAUUUCGAUGUUAUACACAUCAUCAGGUUAGUCGAAGUUUCUGCCUUUUUGCUAUUGCUUUAUCAAUUGCUGGUGACAAUUUAAAUCAAAUUCAAAUAAUGAUGCUAAUGAUUCAGUUUUUCUUAUCGUUAAAGAUGAAUCCCAAAAAACAAAAUAGUAAUACACAGAUGUACAAGCCAAGAGAAGAAAGAAAAGAUGACAAACAUGACUUCUAAAAAAUUGUCAUGAUAAGAUCUUAUGCCCUGCUCAAAUACCAUAUUCUGACACCAUGGAAAGUUGCCUUUUUUUUUUUUGGUGAGCUACAGUUUUUUUUCACAUGUAUUAAUGAUGUUACGUGAGACAACCGUCAAUAUAUCUCUUUGUAUCUACAACUCUUAUCAAGUCUAAGAAUUAGAAUUAAGAUAUUUCUAGUUACUUAUAGAUCUUUCGACCACAUCAUAUAUAUCGGAAUGCUUCGAGCCAAUACAGUAGAUGCUAAUCAUUUGUGUGUAAGUGAUAGAUACAAAGAGAGACAUCCUCUACUACACGGAUUAUAUAUAAUCUCACAAGAAUGUCAUAUAUACCGACUUAUCUACCUGUUUCUAACCAAUAUAGUAGGCGCCCAUGCAUCAUUUGUUUCUGUGUGAAGAUAAAACAUGAAUGAAUACAUGCAGCAACCUGCAGUUGUUGUUGUUGUUGAUAGUGUACAGCUUUAGACUCAUGAAAUUUGUGGCCACUCCACUUAUCUCGUGAACCAACGGGGACCCAACUAUUCUGUUUGGCAUUCGUACACCACAAAGAAACAACCUCAAUAAAUAUAAAAUAAACAAAACACCAGCAAAACAAAAAUUAGGGGCAUCUAUACUAUCUACUUCCCCACCAUCACAAUUAUUACCUUUUUUUCUUGUAUGGUUCGGUGGCAGGAAACGAAACCUAGCUACAUUUACUUCUUCUAGUUUGCAGUUGACUGUUUUUCCAUGAGUGAAAUAAUGAAGCUCGAUGGAACCCGGGCUAUAAAAUUCGAAAAUAGUCGUUUCUUUUUUAUCUUCCAAUCACAGUUAAUUUGAUGAGUUAAUUUUGCGUACAUGUUGUGAAUUGUAAUAAAGAGCCGAGCAUAUUCCUUUUUAUGCCUAAUAAAGUGUAUAAUCCUACAGAAUAUUUAGGGAGACUUUGGAUGCGGUCCUUAGUCAUGAAUAUUCUUUGAUUGAAACCUUGUUAGUUUUAAAUUUUUGAUUGAGAUCCCUGAAAUUAAUGUGAUAAUUUAUUUCUAUGUACGUUACUAUUUUUUUUUAAAUUAAAAAUUAGAAAUUUUAGUUGUUUAUAUAAAUGAGAUUUUAAAUAAAAAACCAUAAUUUGUGGGAUUAAAAAUAUUAAAAUAUAAUCUAAUAUUUUGUGUGUGUGUGUGUGUGUGUAAACAUGGGUACAUUCAUCAAAAUUAACCAAAAAAUUCAAGACAUGGGUACAUUCUUCAAAAUUACAAAAAAAAAGAAAGAUAUUAGGCUUAAUAACAUUAGUAAAUUUCUUUGGUUAAACUUAACAUAGAUACAUUUUAAAAUCAAAGAAAAAAAUUGAAUAGAUUUUAUAUUAAAAAAAUGGUAGAUUUUUCAUAUAACAAAUUUGUAUAUUUAAGAAUGAGUACAUUUUAAGAUUAAAAAGUUUUACAUGAAUGGGUACAUAUAAUUAGCAUGGGUACAUUUAGCAAAAUAAAAAGUACAAAUAAAAAAAAAUAUGGGUACAAAUACAAAUAAACUUUAAAAAAUAUGGGCACAAAAAGAAAUUAAUAUAUGGGUAUAAAUUAAAAAAAAUUACAAAUUAAAUAUGGAUAAAACUAAAACUAAAAAUAUAUGAUAAAAAUUUAGUCAUAUAAAUAUACUAAUUGUAACAUUUUUAACAUUAAAUGAAUAUAUUUAGAAAUAAAAAAUAUUUUAUUAUUGAAAUAAUUAAUAAUUUAAUAAUACCAAGGAUCUUGAUCAAAAAUUGAAAAUGAAUAGGAUUUUAAUCAAUGGAGGAGUAAAAUGAAGGAUGAGAACCUAAUUUUUCCGAAUAUUUAUAUUAGUUAUAAGCUCUCAGCGAUUGAUAUAAAAGGCAGCCUAUAUCAACUUAUUUUUAGAGUCGAGAAUAUCAGAACUUCACAGAGGGGGGAUAGAUAGGCUCUAAAACCAUGUAUUGGUUUCUUACAGUUAUCUUUCUGGUAGCUAUUCUCACAUUUAAUACUCCUUCAGAGGCUAGCCAUGAGAAGAACCAUCCUUCUGCAGUUGUUGUAGGCACUGUCUACUGUGACACAUGUUUCCAAGGGAUUUCUCACAUACCAGCCAUUUCAUUUCAGGUAAAAUUCAUCUCAAAUUUUCAAGUUUCAACAAGUUCAUAAUCAAAUUUCUUUUUGUAUUGUAGUCCGGCCCUUCUCUCCUCGUGCAUACUCUCAUUUUUAUUUUUGAUCUUUAAAUUUAAAUAAAUCAAAGAAAAAUCAAAAGAAAAUAAUAAACAAAGGUGUACAAAAGGAGAAAUGUAAAAUCUGGUAAAUUGACUGAGAAAUAGAAUUGGCCAGAAUAAUUUCAUUACUUCUGAUUGUAAAACCUUUAUACAGAUAUUUCCUAUGAGUCAACUAUACAACUAGGAAAAGUAAAUCAAUUACAACAAAACUCUCCUUGGCGGUAGGAUUCUGCUUUCAAUCACAAUUUCUUUCCAACAUUUAUUAUUUCUCUUAAAAAAAAAUGGAGGAUAUUUCAUUAAUUUGUAUAUGUCGAUAUCAUUGUCGUCCAGUAAAUAUGUCAUCAAUAACGUGGCGAUUUCAUUGUGAGUCCAACAGAACGUACAAACAUGUUAUGGAUGCAUUUUCGAAAAUAUCAAUAACCUUAUGGGGUUCUUGUGCAGGGGCUUCUGUUGGUGUGGAAUGCAAAGAUGGGAGUUCAACAGAACAAAGUUUCAAGGCACAAGUGAAAACAAAUAGCCAUGGACAAUUCAAAGUCCUUCUGCCAUUCUCGGUGAGCGAACAUGUCAAGAAAAUUGAAGGAUGCUCAGUGAAAAUAAUCAGCAGCAGUGAACCCUACUGUGCUGUGGCCUCAUCAGCCACCUCCUCUUCCUUACACCUCAAGGCAAGAAAGCAAGGGACUCACAUAUUCUCUGCUGGUUUCUUCACCUUCAAGCCUCUCAAACAACCCACCUUAUGCAACCAGAAACCCAGCAUUCAGAAUUCCAAGAAAUUAAAUUCGCAGAAGUUCUCAUUCCCUCGUACUGAUGAGCUGGAAUUCCCAUCACCCUCUCAAGUGGACCCCACAAUUCCUGAUCUACCUCCCGUCCCUAAGAUCCCUUAUCUUCCACCGCUGCCACAACUCCCUCCUCUCCCUCCCAUCCCAAUUGGUGUCCCAGGACUCCCAGGACUUCCUGGAAUUCCAGGUUCGCCCCCUGUUGCUGUAAAAACUUCAUCUGUGUCCUCCAACUCCAAAACUUCAAAGAAUGAGCAACUAGGUGAUAAUAAAGAAGUAGCGCAUCCAGAUACUAUAUUUCCACCUUUAUUUCCACCAAUUAUCCCUAAUCCAUUUCAGCCCCCUCCACUUAUCCCUAAUCCACUUCAGCCCCCUCCACUUAUCCCUAAUCCAUUUCAGCCCCCACCAGCUCCAUUAAUCCCUAAUUUGCCCCCUCUUCCUGGUUCUCCACCAGCAGGUCCAGCACCAUUGAUUCCCAACCUGCCAAUUCCCAACCUGCCACCUAUAUCUGGUUUGACUCCAUCGCCGUCACCACCACCACCAAUCAUCCCACUCCUCCCUCCACUCCCCUUCCCACUGCCACCUGUGCCUCGGAUCCCCGGAAUUCCCCCAGCAGCUUCUUCAAAACAAAGUACUUCACCUUGAUUUAAAGUAAUUAAUAUAUUUAACUAUGAAACAUGUAU